rnacentral:lncRNA from 1 species
CUUCUGGAAACUUAAACAAGAAGAGUGAUGUUUAUAGUUUUGGAAUCAUACUCUUUGAGUUGAUCACGGGCCGACCUGCAAUAAUGAGAAGCCGGGAUGGCAGCACUCGCAUGCACAUACUUGAAUGGUUGAUUCCUUUCGUUGAAAGUGGUGACAUACAUAGCACUAUGGAUCAAAGGUUACGGGGGCAAUUUGACAUCAACUCGGCUUGGAAACUAGUGGAGAUUGCUAUGUCUUGUACACGACUAAUGGCAAUUCAAAGGUUGGACAUAAAUCAGUUAUUGACAGAGUUAAAGGAGUCUUCGGUGAGCAAAUCAAGUGGUUCUUUUGAAAUGACCUCCUUGGAGCUCACAUCUGAUACUAUCCCUAUGGCUACGUAGCUGAACUUCUUCAAUCCAGUAAGACUAUCGUCUUCUUAGGAAAAAAUUGACUUAUGUCCACAAAUUUGUACUAUUUUUUGUAUUGCGUAAACCAUUCCCCUUUUCUCUUCUGUGAUUGAAUCUUCCAAACUUGCUUUAUAACAGUGAUAACCUUUCGUCCUUUUUCGCUCCUUUCUCCAUUCACGAUGUCAGUUUAUGGCAUUCCUAACACUGCGAAAUUGGGAAUUCCAUGUUGAGUUUGGGGGGAGGAGAUUUUGAGGUUGGGGUUAUCCAUGGAUGGGGUAAUUGGCGUUUGCAGGCCCUCAUAGCACGUUCUUGGGGUUCAGCUGAGAUUUCAGCUGGAACCCGAACCAUUGAUUAAGUAGCAGCAAUUUCGCAAUUUUGAGGGGGUAGAUUGAGCAAAUUUAAAGAUGAGGGACAUAUAUGGAACUUGGUGGUCCUAAUGUAGGGCCACAGCAAUUUCUCACAAGCAACUUGGGAUGUACACACAAGCAUUGUUGAAAAAUCAUGGAUAAUGCAUUCAUUUGUAACAUAUCUAGAUAGAAGGCAAUCCCUAUCUCAUCUAAUUCUUAGAAUUUGGGAUAGGCCUGCUGUCUUGGGGGUUCCGAUGCAACAACCAGUAUCAUUGACCAGAAGAGAGCUACUUGGCCAGAGAAGAUGCGCACGACCGGUGUGACAUUGCCAUUGCCUGAUUCGUCAAAAAAGGACCCACCGACGCGCCAUAGAAUAGUCCGAUAUAUGGCAAUCAAUGGCGGGAUUCAUAAAAAAUGAGGGCUCAUCCUUAGCAAGCAAACCCAAAAAAUGAACUUGUUAAUGAUCUUAGACCAGCAGGAAUUUGUGCAUACCAUGACAUAAAUAUGUGAUGUCCCUUCUGAGUAUGGGGAACUUUGAUCAAGCACUAGAUGCACCAAUAGAACCACAGAGUCAAAACACUUGUUAUAUAGAAAGUGUGUACUUAACUCGAGUGCCUUAUCCUCGAUUCUCUAGUGACUUAGGUGGUCUUCCAUGAGAAUUGACAGUCAAGUCACUUUUGAUGACUAUGGAUUCAUCACUUGUGACAGAAUAAUUGAGACUGUAAAAAAGAGAGAAGACAAGGAGACUAGAGUUUGAAUAGCGACAUCUAUUUUACACAAAUAGAUUGUCUGCUAAGUUAUCGACUUCCGCCUCUAGCUAAAUAAAGAGAACCUAAAUCAAAGAGACAUGAUUCUGAAUAAUUAGAUAACCAUCAUCACUCCAGCCAAGACACUGUCAAGAGCAACUGGACUUAUUAAAUAAAGAUAUAGAGAUAUGGUUUAAUAUAAACAUGGAAAAGAAGAAGAUACAUGGUCACUAAAUGAAAGGAAAUCUUAAAGCAAAACUUAGCAAUGAUAUUGCUGUUGUCUCAUAGUAAAUGAUGGACCAAAGAUACGGUCAAUAAACAAUGACCCUUCUUCUCCCUAUGACUUCCAGAGAAAAGUAUAAAGCCUUUGUUCAAGCAUAUAAAGAUGCGCAAGAUUUGCUAUAAUCUUAUUUAAUGAUAUUCUAACAUUUGUUUUUACUCUGUCAAUAUAAACACAAAAAUCAUAUCAUUAUCACAAAUGAAACCAACUUUUUAUGACCCUUCUCUGCUCUCAUAUUCCUAAUUUUUUUUCUCUUUAAAAAAAAAAAAGAAAAUCAUUUUCCACAAAAUUUAUCUCUCUUUGGAAGGAAAAAUCAUCAACCGAGAUUCUUUUUCCUGGUCGAAUGAAAUGAGUAUAAAGCAUAUCUCACUUUUACUACAGCAAAGUCUUUGCUUUUUAAUUUCUUUAAUCGCAGUGCGAUGUGCAUUAUUGAUGCAAAAUAAACUGUUUAUUGUUCUCGAGUCCAAUGCUUUCUUCCUCAAGCCAUCAAUAAAAGAACGGAAUGAAUCACUCUUGUCAGGGAUCAUUUAGGAAUAAAAUAAUAUGAGCGCAUGAACUUUUCAAUGCAUUCCAAAGCACGUCAUUCCAUAAUUUCAAAGUAUGUACCAAUUUCACCUAAUUAAUUAGAUUCAAUUUCGCUCAAAAACCUGAGUUAACGAUAUCUCCGGGAAAUGCAUAUUUAUCAAUAGACGAUUUAAUUUUGAUUCUAAUAAUGUGGGAUUACUGUGUAUGGAAAGCUUGUGGAAUCAAUGCUAAUUGUUUUAAAAUCUUUGACAGUGGGAUGAAAACAUUGUUCAAUAUUAAAAUGUCGUGUUAAAAUAACUCACCUCAUUUAUUUAUAGGAGGUUUAUAUUCUCUUUAUGGACAUAUAAUCUCCUUCUACCUAUAAGUUUAAUCUUUUAGAUUGGACAUUCUAACACGGUAUUAAGUCGGUUUCUGCCUCCCGUCAUUUUAUAAUAUAAGUCCAAAUCUAAAUCUAUCAUUUAUAUUUGACCGGACCAGAUUAGACCAAAUUUUAACUGAAUAGUCAACUCGAUUGAAUUAUUAUUAUAUCAAAUGUGAACUUCUACAUUUCCUACCACCUCAGACCCUGAGUACUAGUAUAAAGCUGAUGUUAAUAUGGGUUGCAUGUAAUAUCCUCAAUCAUGUAUAUUGGCAAGAGACCUUUCUCUGUCUGCUGGAAAGGGAAGAUCAACGUUGCUCCUCUCUCUCUCUCUCUCUCUCUCUCUCUCUCUCUCUCUCUCUCUCUCUCUCUCUCUCUCUCUCAUUGAAAAAGCCAUCAAGAAGAAGAGAGAAGCAGAACGACAAACAUGGAAUCAAACUUAUACUUCAGUUCUAGCAAGUCUGCAUGGUCGAGAUUGAUGAGAGAGGAUUAAUUUUUUUUUAAAUUAGAUUAAUCACACCUAAUUAAUCCCAACGGUCAAGGCCCAUAAGAGAUUACCACUUUUGAUUUCCUGAGCUGCUAUGGUAGAAAUUGGGAAUAAAUUGACUAUUUGGAUCUAGACGCGUUGAGGAAGAUCGAAGCCCUAAUUGGAGAUUAGAUAAAGAGAACAAAAGGAAGAAAGUGCGAGUGAGACGCCGUCAUUCUUUGAGGAAUGGUUCGGACAUAAACGGCGUUGUUUUUCUUAUAAAGAGAGAGCCAGCGAGUAGAACGGAAAUGACGUCGUUUCUCUCCAAGUGAACGAAAAUUCCAUGUUGGACUUCCCUUUACCUUUAAAAAAUCCACGCUGAAAAAAAAAAUUAGGUUAAAAAAAAUCCACAUAAGGCGUUUUGUCGGAAAUGGCACUCAAAUGAAUAAUUAUACUCCGAUGUGACAUUUAAGUAAGCAAAAAAAAAAUUUGUAUUCAAAUGAGUACCGUACAAAGAUUAUAACACUUUUGCUAUUUUUAUCUCUAACCUAUUUUUUCUUAUUCAAUCCCGUCCUUCCAUCAAUCAUUUGUGCAAUGCGAUUGGCUCUACCUCUAUCUAUGGGAGAUUUAAUCUCAUUGUCCUAUGAGGAUACACAAUUUCCAUUUCGUAAAAACGAAAUCAAUUGAACGAUCUAUUUUUAAAAUCAUGGGCAUUGCAUUCUCACGUUCUCACAAAAGAGAAAACAUAAAUAUGACUUAAAGCAUCGACCUUCUAAAGGUUCUUAGACUAGAGAGAGAUUCAUGUCUUUUAAACUUUGUUAUUUGUUAUGUUAAUCAUGAUUAACAUAUACCUAUAUGAAAAGAAAUAUGUAGUUGAGAGAUGAGCUAAAUUUGUUAAAGUCAACUAGAAAGCAUUUACUGCAAAAGGGGGAUUAUAUGAGUGGUUUAAGUGAAUUGUUUUAUUUAAUUUUCAAAAUUGGGAGCAACAUAGAAAAAAAUAAAAUAAAUAUCCAACUCAUGAAUAGGCCACGUAAUCAAAAGCGUCCGUGAGAUUUGAGAAGAAGCCAGUAUGGAUGCGGCCUUACGGGCAAAGGGAUUGUGGGGUUGGUGCUGGAGAAUAAAAAGUCUGGGUUUUGAUUCUCGUGUGCGCCGCUCACACAUAUACAUAAUAGGGGGGAGUGAGGGGAAAAAAAAAACAAAAGGGAUUUGAGAAGAAAAAAAUUAGCAUAUCUGUGAAAUUUGGGGAAAAAAAAAAAGCUUCCAAAUCGCAUCUACUGUUCAAAACACACUGUUCAAUAUAAGAUUAUUUGCUUGAAUGUUUAUAUAGAUAGAAAUUUUUUCCUGGGGGAUAAACAAAUCAAAAGGUAAAAAUUUUUGAAAAUCAGGCACUGGGCCAAAAUACCUCUUUUUCUUUAUAAAAAUAUUGUCAAUUUACUAUUCACAUUUGUUAACACCUAAAUUUUGGCAGCCCGUUUAGUUAUUUAUCGCAUUAAAAAUUAGGGUUUAAUUUUAUCCCUAAAAAAAAUAAUUGCAUAGCAUAUAGAUUUAGGUUCAUUUAUUUUUAAUUUACAUUUUAUUUAUUGGACCGGUGGCGAAUGGGUUCAAAUUAGUUGGACUAAGCCCACGAAGCUAGUAAGUUGGCCCAAGCCUAUAUAUAUAUAUAUAUAUAUUUUAUAUUGAUCGAAAAUUAUGUCGUGAGAAAAUAGGAAUUUCGAAAUUCUUCCGAGAUAUGAAUCUUUUGGAUAUGGCAUAUGUGUGAAAAAAUAUUGUGAUUUAUCUUUGCAAGAUUUGGAUUUAGAGAAAAAUAUUAUCGUAAUCUUGAAGAUGUGAUAAGUUGGUGAAAAAAUAUUGCAAAUGUAGAUUUGAAGGGGAAAUCGAAAACCUAUCUCCUACCCCCUGUAAAAGCAAACAGUGUACGAGGAGAAAGGGGGGUUCUUUUCUCGAGGGUGUAGUUAAAAAAUUGAAGAAAUUUCUCCUCCAGUUGAGAAAAGUGAAAAAGUCUUCUGCAGAAAGUACAUAGUGCGCAGAGGGAGAGUGACGAGAGAGAGAGAGAGAGAGAAGGAAAAAAGAAAACCGGAUCGUCUUCUUCGUAGGGGGGCUUUGACCUCGCAGGCCCCGCGUUUGCACCAGCAGACGCCGGAAUUGUCUCUGUCGGCCAUCUCCGACGCCGUCGCCUGCUCUGGCUCGCGACCCUAGCGCCGACGCCCAGCAGCACCACCGGAGUCCGAUGCCGCCGUUCGCUCGCAGCAGCUGCCGGACCCCCUUAGCCUCCGCCUACGCCCCUGCGCAGAGCCCGAUCUGCUGCACCGGAACGCUGGUCUCGCCCCCGACUCGUCUGCAACCUGCGGCUUAGCAGAUCCUAAGCCGGCCCGCCUCCGUCGUGCUUCCAACUGUCACCCCCGACGCCCACGCCAGUAACCUGCGCUGCUCCGUGACUGCCCAGUGCCCGACGCCCUUGUCCACGACCGCCCAGUGUCCAACUCCCCCUCCUCCGUGCAACGAUUCUGUAGCCGCUCUGUGCUCGUUGCUGUGGCACCAUCGCCCGCGACACCCCUCACCGUCGCUGCUUGCCAGCCUUCACCGAAGCUCCGACGCUGGUCAUCCUCCACCCGGCGCCGACCAAUCUGCUGCCACCUUUCCUUAGGUUGCUUAUUUUUCUUUUGGUCUUUCAUUUAUUUUAUGUUUUUUUUUUUUUGAAGUUUUGCUAUUAUUGUACUAAUUUGAAUGUUGGGAAUUGAUUAUCAUUUUAUUGUAGGCAUUAUCCACAGAGUUUUCCCUAAAAUUAUUAUAAUUAUUAAUUUGACCCGUAAGAUGUCGGGUCAUUUUUUUUUUAAUUAUCUUAAUUUUUAGGGUUUGUUGAUAGUAUUUUAAUUAUUGAAUCAAUAUAAUUAUUAAUUUGAUCCGUAAGAUUUCGGAUCAGAUUUUUAAUUAUUUUGAACUUUAUGUUGUAAUGUUUAGGGUUAAAAUAACCAUUAAUUUAACCCGUGAGACAAUGGAUUAUUUUUUCGGUUAUUUUAAUUCUCAUUUAAUGAAUAUCUUGAUUGUGUAGAUAUAGUUACUUAUCUUGGAAAAACACUAAAAGAAUCAAAAAAAAAAAAAAAUCAAAAUCGUGCAUCGGCAUGUAGGUUUAGUAGAUUAAACAUGUAAGUUUAGUAAAUUAGACAUAUAGGUUUAGCAAAUUAGAUUUUUUUUUUUUUUUUAGGAUUACAUUCUUAGGGUUACAUUUAGGGUUAGACCUAAAUAAUUACUUUUUUUUAAAAAUAGGGUCUUAGAUAAUGUUGGCGCAUUUUAAUUAUUCCAUUUUUCUUUAAAAAAUAGUUUUCUAAGAUAGGAUAUGGUUUGAGUCAAAUUAAUCCCUGAAAUAAAUUAGAAAAUUAUUCGUUUUUUUAGAUAGUUUAAUUAGGGUUUUUAUUAACCCCAAAUUUCAAUAAAAAAAUACAAAAACACUAGGAGCAUGUUAACUAGUUUGCAUAAUAGGAUAAUUUAAUUAGAGUUUGUUAGUAAAAUUAGGUUUUGCAUGUCACUUAGUGAUUGUUGUUAGGUCCAUUUAAUUAGAAAGUUGCUUGUCAUUAAAUCAGGUCAUUUAGUUAGAGUGCCUAUUUUAAUUUUGAGAUAAAAAACCCAAAAAAAAAAAAAAACAAUCGUUUGCUUCGUGCGUUUAUUUCUUUUGAUGCAAUUUGUUUAAUUAAUUGAGUAUUUAAUAACGAUUGAGUACUCAUAUGAUCACCAUAUUGCAUGAUAGGAAUUUAGGUUAAAAUAAACCUAAGCUGCCUGCAAAAGCAUUUUUGAAAUUAAAAAGAAAUGGUACCGAAAGGGCGGUACCAAAAGGGCAUUAGAGAAAUCUAGUGUAACCAAGUUUCCACACCCUUAGUCUCUGGUUCGUAGGAGUAAAAUAAUUCUCCCAUUAUUUUACUUAGGUGUCUAAUCGACUUACUAAAAAUGGAUUAGUGGCGAUUCCUGAUUAAAAAAAAUCAAUUGCAUGUUGAGAAAUUGAACUUAAGUCGCGAAUUGGUAUGGGCUUGAGAGAGCCCGAGCUAAAUUUAGGUUUAGUAAUCCAUUAGCCUAAUUUUAGGUGGUGCACUCGAAAUUUAGAUCAUGACAGCUUGAUGACUUCGCUGGGGAUCCGUGUGUUACACUUAGUGGACUUAUGCCACUUUUUCUUUUUCUUUUAAAAAUGUUUUUGUUUGGCAACGAGGAUCCCGGGUACAUCCCUAAUUUAAGUGUUAAAUGUUCUUACAGAUGGGAGGUAUAAGGGGAGUAGUCUUUACUAACCCCUGUCUUGCAGGUUGGAGUAGGGAUGCAUGUUUGAAUUAAAAUUAUAAAAGUGUUGCUUGUAUUUAAACUGUUGUGCAUGUUUUAUUGCUUUUAGCACUACACUAUUGCACACACAACCUGCGGUCGGACCUGGGCUGCGAUAGGAUUUCUAGGAUGGUGUUGAGAAGGAUACUUCCUCCAAAGCGAGACUGCUAUGUAGAGGUUGACUUUCUCUUCCCCGAAAUUUCUUUCAUGGCAAUUUCUUUCAUGGUGUCGAAUGUGUUUAUCUAUAUUCGCGAGACUGCUUGAUUAUUGGGUAUUCCAUUCGACUGAGCCGGGGUUAGGAGGACCUGACACGUUAAUGCGAGAUUGCAACGGUCAGAUCAUCCUCUUAGCUCCACCUUGUUAAGCCAUCUAGAUAGAAUCGAGUCUCACUUUUCAUGCGUGUGUAUAUGAUUGUCAUCCAUUUCUGGUGAAAGUAAGUUGUCUAAAUUCUUCGCAAUUUAUUUACUUUAUUGCAAUUUUGUUGGUUCAUGACAAUAGGUUUCAUCGUUAGUCUUGUUUUAUAUGCGAUGAGGAAAAUCGACGUACAAUUCAUUUCCACUCAAAAAAAAAAAAAAAAAAAGAGCUUAAGAGGUGGUUGGAUCAGUUAGACCAAGAUGGCCAGAGAUACGUGGAAGCCAGGAUUGCUCGACUUCUUCCACUGUUAGAGAUCAACGUCCACUCUGGUGUGAUACAAGCACUCCCUCACUUCUGGUGUCCACAAACUUCCACCUUCAUAUUUGGUGAGUUUGAAUUGACUCAAACACUUGAAGAAUAUAGUGUUGCCAUUGGAAUGCCCCUGGAAAAGGAACUUGUUAGGCUGCCUAUCGGUAUAGAUUCUAUUUUUGAAUUAUCACAGCUUUUAAAAUUCGAAGCCGAAAGAGUAAGGAAGGUUAUUAAAGCCAAUUGCUAUGCAUGCCCAAUCUCACUUUUGGAAGAGUGUUUUUCAAACCAACCGAUGACUUCAAAAGUUAGGAUUUUCACGUUAGCAUUUUUUAGACUAAUCAUUUUUCUUUAUCGAAAAAAUGCCAUUAAUCCUUCAAUUUCAUGGGUGGUUAAUCGUGUGUGCAACGGGUUAAAUUAUGUCAAUAUGGUUUUAGCUGAAACAUUUUUGUCAUUAACCCGUUUCAAACAAAAUGAGGAAAAGACCAUGCGUGCCCUCCCUAAACUUUUGCAAAUAUGGUUUUUCUCCCACAUAAGAGGAUUUGGGCACCUUAUGAAACAAUUUAAGAUUGAUGAUUUUAGGCACCCCAUACAAAAGUUUGUGGUCUUAGAACGUUCUUCCCCAAAUAAACAGUAUGCCUCGUUGGAUUACUUUUUUGAAAAAUCCUAAUCCUAAUGCAUUCCUAUGGCAUACUAAAUGGUUCCGAGUUGAGGAGGCUCAUUUCUCACACAAGCAUGAUGAGCCAAUUCCGUUAUUGGGCCUUUCUGGUGCGACUUCUUACUACCCGUAUAGGGUGGCCCGUCAGUACAAAGCUCUUCAAGAAAUUCCUCCACCACUCAAGACAGAGUUGUUCCAAGUUCGUUUUAUUCGAGCAAACUAUGACUACUUCAAGGAGAUCCAGAUGAUCAUUAUUGCAUGGAAUGAAUGCCACUCGGACAAGAUUUUGGUGCCCAAGAGACUAAAAGGCGAGGAGGAGAUUCACCAUGCAUCGACAUUCUACAUCCAAUAAUACCGGAUUCUUGUCACCCUGCGUCCAGUGGUCCUGAUGUGACUGAGAAGCCAACCCAACGAGCACAAAUUGAGCAUCUUAAGCGGAAAGUGGAAAUAAUUGAAGCGGAAAAUAAGAAGCUUCGCAAGGUAUUGGAAUCUUGAAAGCAUAUAAAAUGAGACGUCUUGAAUUUUGAUUCUUAGUUCAAUAUUUAGGGACUUUGAUUUCUAGCUCAAUGUUUUCAAUUUUUAGAUUCAAUGUUUGGGGACUUUGGAUUUCAAUUCUUAGUUCAUUGUUAGGAAACUUGGUUCAAAUUUCAAAUAAAAUCAGGCGAUUAGACCAUUGUCAUGGGCCAUAAUCCUAUCUUGUUAUUGGUUCUUACAUUACUUUUAUUCAAUUAGGUGAUAACGAAUCUUCUAUGUUCACCCAUCAUUACACGAUCGAGAGCAAAAAUGGUCGACCAAGCCGAAAUGCGAGAUUGUAUGUCUGUCGUGGAAGACCAACUCAAAUAGUUGCUCACCUCUAUGCAACUUAUGACAACUCAAAUGCAAUCUCCCCAAGUGAAUUAGACCCUUGCACCUGCUCUCCCCGAGAUUGUAGUCCCAAAGCAAACGAACAAGACCCAAAUUGGUGAUGACGACAUGCCUGAACUGGAGGAUGACCCACUAUUCGUCACUACCGAAAAGGUUAAGCCUGACAAUGUCACUAAGGUAGAGCAAGAUGAACGCUUCGCCAAACUUGAAGAGAAACUAAAACAAUUGCAAGAGUCGCAGAGUUCACUCCCAUUUGACUUGUCAGUUUACGAGAAAGUCAAGAUGCUGAAAAAGUUUAAGAUGUCGGAGUUCGAGAAAUACGACGGUACUUCCUGCCCAAAGGCUCAUUUACAGAUGUACCACAUACGCAUGGCCCAAUAUGUCAAGAAUGAGCCUCUCAUGAUCCAAUCAUUUCAUACAAGUUUGACUGGGCCUGCUCUGAAUUGGUAUGUGAUGAAGAAUGUGAACCUCCUUGACACCUGGAACGAAGUGGCCGACGCAUUCCUCAAACAGUAUAAGUUUAACAUGGACAUCACACCUUCCCGAGAAGACCUUGAGCGAAUGGAAAAGAAGAGGAGCGAGUCAUUUAAAGAAUAUGCUGUGAGGUGGAGAAAUCUGGCGGCUCAAAUCACUCCUGAGCCUACUAACAAGGAGUUAAUGAAGCUGUUCGUGAAGACCCUCCCGUCUGAAUUCCAUAACCGGAUGGCCAGUACGUAUGUCGAGAACUUCAAUCAGCUGAUUUUUGUAGGAGAACAAAUCGAGAUGGGGAUAAGGGAAGGAUGGUUUACUGAGCCAUCAAGUAAAAGAUUCUCCGCCAAGAAAGAGAAAGAAGCUGCCGUGGAUGUGAAUGUGGCUUAUAGCCAAGAACGUUCCAAUCGUGCCCCAAUGAACGCGAGGCAACAACAAACUACUGGUCGUCAAUCAUUUGCCCAAGCAAAUAAUAUAAGGCAAUUCACUCCCCUCCCUGGAUCUCCAUCCCAGGUGUUGGCGAUUCUUCGAAAGAAAGGCUUGCUUGCUAGCGAGCCAAAACGCCCUAACUGCGAAAGCAUUCGGGGUUAUGACUCGACAAAGAAAUGUGACUAUCAUAAUGGUGAACUGGGACAUUCAACUGACGAAUGUUUCACCCUCAAGCAUCGGAUCCAGAGCCUCUUGGACACGAAAGUCUUUUCAUUUCAAACUGCUCAGCCAAAUGUCCAGAAAAAUCCUCUACCAGAGCAUGAGGGUAGGGUGAAUGCUAUCCUGGAAUCUGAAGCCAGUCGAAUCAAAAACUCGAGGGUGCACUUGAAGGAUGCCUACAAUGGACUGGUGAAAGCUAGAUAUUAUCUAGAUCAUGAGGAUAUUCCCCCAUCAUUGACGAAAGAAAGAGUUGCCAGAAUGGUGGAUGAUGACAUCAUUGUGUAUGCUGACCACAACUGCAUAGUUUCCACUAUUUCCCAUAUCAUUAUUGAUUGGGAGGAGGAACAGGCUGCACUCGAUGCUAAUAAAAAAGAAAUAGAUCCAUCACUCGUGGAUAUGCCCCGACUAGAAGAUGCAUCUGAUGAUGAGAUAGCGAUUGAGAUGCCUCAACCAUAUGAAUAUGUCAACAACAAAGCAGUGCCUUGGUCCUACGACUUAGAUGUUGACCUUGUUACGAGGUCUGGUCAAACUUAUGCUCAAGAUAGUGCUCAACCCGCAAAGCUUGUCACUGACAAAUAGGCUAAGGAAUUUCUAGCUGUGAUUAAAGCAAGCGAAUAUAAUGUGGUCGAUCAGUUGCAAAAGAUGCCUGCUUAGAUCUCUUUGCUUGAACUCCUGCUCACAUCCCCUGUGCAUCAAGAGUUACUAAUGAAGGUGCUAAGUGAAAUUCAUGUACCAAAAACGGUUGAGGCAGAUAAGCUGGAGGAUUUUGUGGGAUCAGUCCUUCUCAAGGACAUAAUUGCCUUUUCUGAUGAGGAAUUCCCUCUUGAAGGAAGGGGGCAUAACAAAGCACUCUAUAUAUCUGUCAAGCACAAAGCUUCUCAUGUGUCUCAAGUGCUCAUUGAUAAUGGGUCCGCCCUAAACAUAUGUCAGUUGGCCACUCUUCACCGCCUCAAGGUAGACCCAUCCAAGAUACAUGCUACAAAGACUUCUGUGCGAGCUUUUGAUAGCACAAAGAAGGAGGUGCUUGGGGAGAUUCAUCUUGAUGGGCAAAUAGGGCUGAUUGUUUUCAACAUCCUAUUUCAGGUGAUGGAUAUCCCCACCGCAUUUAAUUUCCUGCUAGGUCAUCCUUGGAUACACACUGCUGGAGCAGUCCCUUCAAGUCUACAUCAAGCUGUGAAAUUUGUGAUCAAAAGGAAGUUAGUCACUGUGUAUGGUGAGGAAGACCACCAGAUUUACCAUGAGACAGCUAUCCCCUCUGUGGAGCCAGAUGUUGAAUUCGAAUCGAGUUAUCACUCAUUUGAAUUGGUGUCUACAAUACACGCAUCUCGAGAUUCGUCGCCGCCCACUCCUGAAGUUUCAAAUUCUGCCCUUAUGGUGAGAAAAGUGAUGGUUGGAAAUGACUUUGUUCCUAGCCAUAGUCUUGGAAGAAGGGGUCAAGGUAUUCGAAGCCCCAUUGAAGCUCCUCAAAGGUCCCGUUUUGCUGGAUUAAGGUACCAUGGAAGCGGUGGUGGAAAUUCUGGAAGGCAAAGACAGGGAAGACAAAACUUGCCACCUGAGCAAGGGUGAGGGAGGCAAAGCUUACUACCUCCAAAUCUUCAUGAUAUGUUCCCUGGUCCUCCUAUGAUGAUGCAAUAUGAAGCUGAAGUGAUGGAUACUCUAGGGCAGCUAAGUGGUAAAUUCGACUAUAUGGUGAAGUAUUCGGCUCCCCCUAGCUUUUACUUUGACCCCCGCGACAUAGUUCCAAGUGGAUGGGAUGGCAUGGACGAUCCGAUGCUUCCAAAGACCGAGAACUCUGAUGAUGGCUUGGAAGGAAUCACAAGUCUAUUCGAUGACCUCUUCGUAGGAGCUAUUGAUGAAGAACCUCUGGAAGAAAUGGGGCUCGGCCCACAAGAGUAACAUAUUUAUCGCUUUCGCACAUUCCCCUGCGUGGGAAUUUUUAUUGCUUUCUAGGAAUUUUUAUUGCUUUUUAGGAGUUAUCAUCACUAUCUAGCGAUUGUUUUUUUUUUUUUUUUUAAUUUCUUCUUAGGACUUGAAUUCGCAUUUUCCACUCAGUAAAUGUAAUUGAUUGAUGAAUUUCAAUGAAAUUACAAAUUUUAUUUUGAGGGCAUGAUGAGGUACACCAAACUAGCCCAGUGAUGAUAUCCAGCCGAUAAAACAAAAGAAAAAUCUAAGGAGAAUUUUGAGGCUUAGGCUUCAUCAUGUUUUCUCGUGUCAAAAUGUUUCAAAAAAUGCUUUUGCAAAAGAAUUUAAAAAAAAUUCAAAAAAAUAAUAAAAUAUGAUUUACCUUGCUUGUCUUUUUGAUCCUUCUAUUUCCUAUUUCAGGAACAAUCAUAUAGCAUGCAAAGGUGUGGAAAUGGUCCAAUCCAAUGCAACAAAUGCUGAUAAUGAUGAUCCUGAAGACUCGAUCGAGGAUUCCAUUGAGGUGCAACGUAGCUGGGAGCAACAUGAAAAUGUCAAGGCUCUUACGUCUGACCAAACCGUCACUAUUAAUUUAGGUGACACUGAAGAAGCCAAGGAGGUGAAAAUUGGGGCAAAUCUCCCCAAAGAUGAGGCUGAGCACCUAAUUCAAUUAUUGAAGGAAUAUCAGGACAUCUUUGCAUGGACCUAAGCUGAUAUGCCUGGGUUAAACCCGUCAAUCGUGGAACAUUGUUUGCCUAUUAAUCCGGACAUGCCACCUAAGAAGCAAAGGUUGCGGAGAACUAAACCCGAGCUCUCAAAGAAGAUAGAGGAAGAAGUGAUGAAGCUUCUGAAAGUCGAAUUCAUUGAAGUCUCACAAUACCCUGAAUGGGUGGCUAACAUUGUGCCGAUAUUGAAGAAGGAUGGUCGAGUUCGAGUUUGUGUUGAUUAUCGAGAUUUGAACAAGGUUAGCCCGAAUGAUGAUUUCCCAUUGCCUCAUACAGAUGUCCUUAUAGAUAGUACCACUGGAUUUGAACUAUUCUCCUUUAUGGAUGGUUUUUCCGGGUACAAUCAAAUAAGAAUGAAGGAGGAAGACAAAGAGAAAACUGCAUUUAUCACUCCGUGGGGAACCUUUCAUUAUAAGGUCAUGCCCUUUAGACUCAAGAAUGCAGAGGCAACUUACCAGCGAGCCAUGGUAGCACUGUUUCACGACAUGAUGCAUCAAGAGAUCGAGGUCUAUGCUGAUGAUAUGAUCGCCAAGACUCGACUCGGGAAAAGUCACAUUGAAACCUUGAAGAAGUUGUUUGAUCGACUCCGUGAAUUCAAGCUUCAACUAAAUCCCACUAAAUGCGUGUUCGGAUCAACUUCCAGUAAAUUACUCGGAUUUAUUGUGAGCAGUAUAUGGAUUGAGAUUGACCCGGCUAAAGCAAAGGCCAUAUGUGAGCUACAACCUUCGUCAACAGUGAAAGAAGUCCAAAGCCUUUUGGGGAGAUUGAAUUACAUUGCUCGAUGUAUUUCCCAACUUUCUGAAAUUGCCAUUCUUCAAGCUCUUGAAAAAGAACGCACGAGUCAAUUGCGAUGAUGAGUGUCGAGAAGCGCUCAAUAAGUUAAAACAGUACUUGAUGAAUCCACCAGUUCUUGUCCCGCCAUCGCCGAGGCAUCCUUUGAUUUUCUACCUCACCAUUCAUAGUGAGUCAUUGGGUGCGAUGUUGGCUCAGGAAAGUCCCGUCGAUAAAAAAGAACGAGCCAUUUAUUACCUGAGUAAAAAAUUUACUGUGUCAGAGCUAAAAUAUUCUGAUGUGGAAAAGACUUGUGCUGCACUAGUGUGGGUGUUGCAUAGAAUGAGACAAUACACACUGCAUUACCAGACAUUCCUCGUAACUGAGAAUGAUCCUAUCAAGUACCUACUUGAUUGGCCAGCUUUGGUGGGUAAAUUGGCUAAGUGGCAAAUUUUGAUUUCAAAAUUUGAUGUGCAAUAUAUGCCACAGAAGUUGGUUAAGGGUCGAGUGAUCGCCGAUUUAUUGGCUAAGAGUCCGGAAGUCUCAAAUAAUGAUGAUUGUUCCCUGGAUGACCGUAUCUUGAGUGUAAAUGAAGAUUCACGGAUGAUGUUCUUUGAUGGAGCUGUGAACUUGUCUAGUUCUGGUACCGGGGCAGUCCUGAUAUCCCCAGACGAACAACACCAUCCGGUAGCUGCAAAAUUAAUAUUCCCUUGCACUAAUAAUAUAGCCGAGUAUGAAGCUUGCAUCCUCGGGCUUCAAGCUGCAAUCAAGAUGGGUGUAGCCGAAUUAAAAGUGUUCGGGGAUUCCACGCUGAUCAUACUACAUACCAUAAGUGAAUGAAAGACUAAGGAUGUUAAAUUGCUCUCGUAUCAUGAGUACCUAGAAGAUUUGGUCAAGGAAUUCGAUGAAGUUUCAUUCAAAUACUUAUCGAGGUUUCACAAUCAAUUUGCAGAUGCACUCGCAACUUUAUCAUCUAUGUUACAAGUCACUGACGGAUUAGAAGUCGAGCCACUGAAGAUAGAAGUUCUGCCAAGGCCCGCUUAUUGUAUGGUAGUGAUUGAAGAACCUGACGGAAAACCAUGGUAUUACGAUAUCAUGAACUACAUCCAAAAACAGGGAUUCCCCGAGGGAAGUACUCUAGCUGAUAGGAAGUACAUCAUGAAGAUGGCCUCAAAGUUCUUCAUCAGUGGUGAGAAUUUGUACAAGAGAUCUUAUGAUUCAGUCUUGUUGCGGUGUGUAGGUGUAGCUGAAGCCACUCAAAUCAUGCAAGAAGUUCACGAAGGAGUGUGGCCCUCAUAUGAAUGGGCACAUGUUGGUUAAGAAGAUUAUGAGAUUAGGUUACUAUUGGCUCACGCUAGAAGGUGACUAUAUUCAGCACGUUCAAAGUUGUCAUUGUUGGCAGAUCCAUGGUGAUAAGAUAAAUGUCCCUCCAGCUGAGCUGCACCAGAUUUCCGAGCCAUGGCCCUUCUCAAUGUGAGGCAUUGAUGUGAUCGGCCCAAUAAAUCCGAAGGCUUCAAAUGGGCAUUGAUUCAUUUUGGUAGCAAUAGACUAUUUCUCCAAAUGGAUUGAAGCUACGUCAUUUGCAAGUGUCACUGCCCACAAUGUUGCGAAUUUCAUCAAACGUGAUAUAAUUGCUCACUAUGGUGUCCCUGAAACAAUUAUCACUGACAACGGGACAAAUUUGAACAACAAGCUUGUUGAGCGAGUUCAAAAUCAAGCAUUUGAAUUCGUCCCUUUAUCACCCUCAAAUGAACGGGGCUAUUGAAGCGGCCAAUAAGAAUAUUAAGAAGAUCUUGGCUAAGAUAGCCGAGAAUUAUCGAGAUUGGCAUGACAGAUUACCCUUCGCACUGAUGGCGUACCAGACAUCAUUUCAUACUUCUACCGGGGCAACUCCUUUUGCUUUGGUAUAUGGCAUGGAGGCAGUUUUGCCUGUGGAAGUGGAUAUUCCUUCCCUGAGAGUAUUAUCCCAAGUAAAAUUAUCUGAGGCAGAAUGGUCGCAACAAAGACUUGAACAGUUAAACUUGAUCGAUGAGAAAAGACUGAAGGCUCUUUGUCAUGGCUAAACUUAUCAGCAGAGAGUGGCCAAAUCCUUCAAUCGGAAGGUACAACCGAGACAUUUCAAGGUAAAUGAUCUUGUUCUAAGGAAGCUGUUGCCAAUUUUUCCAGAUCCUAGGGGGAAGUUUGCUCCAAACUACAGUGGCCCAUAUGUGGUAAAGAAGGUACUUCAUGGCGGUGCUUUGAUCUUGGCAGAAAUGGAUGAUCGUGAGUUUUCCACUCCAGUUAAUUCAUAUGCUGUCAAGAAAUAUUACCCAUGAUAGAAUUUUCCAUGUCAUGUUUUGAAUUGCAAACAUUUUAUGAUGAAUAAAUUGCCUCAUUGAGUUGCAAAUUCAAUUGUCCAAACUUGUUACAAAUCUUGCAUGUUUUUCUUGAUGAAUUGUGUGAGAUAAAUUGAAUGUGUUAAAUGGGAUACUUUGGAAUGACGAAAGGCAAGCCUGAUUCCAUACACCGUUUCAUACACUAACCCCCAGUGAGUUGUGUGGAAAAUUUCCGUGCCUACGAGGAAAAUGGUGAUCUCGCGAAGGGUACAUCAACCGAGGUGAUGAGAAGCAGUUUCUUCUGCUACUUAAAACACUACAGGUAUAUCCAUUGUUCGGCCCUUUGAGCCCACACACAUGAAAAGCUUUUUAAAUUAUCCCUGUCAAGGAUCGUCCCAUACUGGGACAAGAUUUGAAAUGAAUGAUAGGAAUUUUCUUACUCAUACUUGCAUCAAUCUUCGAGUAUUGUUUUCGCAAUGUAACUUGUACGAUAAUUUAAAGUGCCUUAGGACGACCAAGAGCUGUUCUUUCUCUAUCCUAUACACUUUAUCCAUUACAUAGCCCCUUGAGCCUAUGAAUUCGUUUCAUAUUAAACCCAGUUGGUGAUCAUCCCCCACACUGGAGCAAGGCAAGAAAAAUCAAACUACUCAAGCAGCAUGGCUUACAAUGUUGAUAAAAGAUGAAGGCCGUGCGAGUCCAAGGAAAAAAAAAAAAGAGGCAUGAAAAAACAGUGUGCUUGGUAAAAGCAAGACCAAUGCCCAAAGAGAAAAAUCAAACACUUGAUGUAAUGAGUGAUAUCCCCAACAAGGCGAUACUGAAAAAAAAAAAAAAAAAAAAAAAACUCAAAUGCUGAGAUGUUACAAUCAAUGGAGUUAUGACAUGAAGAAAAUCUUCAACAUUAGAGAAAAAUUGGUGGAAAUGUCAAGAUGAUCACCAACUUUGACCCCCUAAACACUUUUUGAGCCUAAUCAUCUUUUUGUUUCUCAACCCAUAAACUUAGCCUACGUUACAUCCCUUGCAAGAUCUCUUCAGAUUAUGGCACUUGAAUUAAUGUAAAAGUUCAUAUGUUCGAAAGCAUCGCUUGAAGAAGUGCGAUUAAGAUAAUUUUUGCUUUAUUUCAUAUGUUUCUUGACUUGUAAACCACAAGACAAUUGCGAAAUGUCAUUUUUUAGUAGCCUCGACUCGAAGAGUCUCCCUUAUUGAGCCAUUGACCGAGCCCACGUUACAGUCCCUCUUAAAGACCUUUCAGAUUGGUAAGGUUGUACCACUUGCGAGAUUGCUCAGACCCUUGUUUGACAUUAUGAUAGUGAGAUAGAGUGACUGUUAAAAAUCUUACAUCAAAGGUCAGGAUAAAAUAGCCAUUUUAAUCAGGGAGUGAAAAGUCCUUUCUGACCGAAAGAUCCCCCAUUUGACACGUCCAUGAAACUCAUGUGUUCAUAUUGGAAUAUUCUUUUGAAAUAUUUCCCAAUGGAAUUAGGUGAUGCAAGAUUGAUAAAUCAUCGUGCAUGAGCCUCCCUUAAGUUAAUGCAUGUUUGUGAUUACAAAUGCAUAUUGCUUCUCCUAUGACCAUGUUUCACAGGAGACAUUUCCUCCGAGAACAGAGAUGUUACCAGGUAGAUAUAUCUUUAUCCAUACCUUAAAUACUUGUCAUUAUGCAGGUAUUCCCUUUUGAAUACACCGACACUCGUUCGAGCUGUCCCCUAAAGAUUUUUCUUUAGAUUCAGUCUGAUUAAGGUGACCGAAGAAAGAUUCGGGUCCUGGUCAGAUGAUCUAUGCUGCAACGUUAGGUGACCGAAGAAAGGUUUGGGUCCUAGCCAAGCAAAACUCAGUUUAGGCGACCGUAGAAAGGUAUGGGUCAUAGACAACAUUUAUUGCUCUAACAGGCGACCAUAGAAAGGUACAGGUCCUGGAAAAGCAAUUACCUCAGUUCAGGUGACCGUAAAAAGGUACGCGUCCUGGAAAAUGAUUCCUCGUUCAGGCGAUCGUAGAUAGGUACGAGUCCUGGAAAGUGAAUCCCGGUUAAGGCGACCGUAGAAAGGUACAAGUCCUAGACACAACCAAACUCUUCCAUUUUGGGCGACCGUAGAAAGGUACGGGUCCUAGAAAAGCAGUUUCCUUGCAAAAACUUUACUGCCGUACUAGGCGACCAUACAAAUGUACGGAUCCUAAGAAAGUAGUCUCCUUAUAAAGUCUCGUUAUUAUUUUAGGCGACCAUAAAAAGAUAUGGGUCCUGAACGUGUAACACCAUCUUGAAUCACUCUACCCCCCUUGAAGAUAAGUUAUUCUAGGUAGGUUCCUUCGUUGUUUGCAUUAGCAUUUCCGUGCGUCAUAUAAAUUGCAUUUCAAAAUGGGAUUCAUUUUCCUAAAAAAAUCAUUCAGUGCAUGUGCAUAGUCAAAAUUUAGGUCUCAAUUUGUCUUUGAAGGCAACCUCUUCGAGCUCACCUUCAAAGAGGGGUAGCUGUUGACACCUAAAUUUUGGUGGCCCGUUUAGUUAUUUAUCGCAUUAAAAAUUAGGGUUUAAUUUUAUCCCUAAAAUAAAAAAAAAUUGCAUAGUAUAUAGAUUUAGGUUCAUUUAUUUUUAAUUUACAUUUUAUUUAUUGGACCGGCGGCGGAUGGGUUCAUUAGUUGGACUAAGCCCACGAAGCGAGUAAGUUGGCCCAAGCCCAUGUUUUUUUUUUUUUUUAUUGAUCGAAAAUUAUCUUGUGGGAAAAUAGGAAUUUCGAAAUUUUUCCGAGAUAUGAAUCUUUUGGAUAGGGCAUAUGCGUGAAAAAAUAUUGCAAUUUAUCUUUACAAGAUUUGGAUUUAGAGAAAAAUAUUAUCGUAAUCUUGAAGAUGUGAUGAGUUGGUGAAAAAAUAUUGCAGAUGUAGAUUUGAAGGGGAAAUCGAAAACCUAUCUCCUACUCCUUAGAAAAGCAACAGUGUAUGAGGAGAAAUGGCCCGGGGGGGGGGGGGUCUUUUUUCGAGGGGGAAGUAAAAAAAUUGAAAAAAUUUUUCCUCCCAUUGAAAAAAGUGAAAAAGUCUUCUGCAGAAAGUACAUAGUGGGCAGAGGGAGAGUGACGUGAGAGAGAGAGAGAGAGAGAGACAGAGAGAGAGAGAGAGAGACAGAGACAGAGAGAGAGAGAGAGAGAGAGAGAGAGAGAGAGAGAGAGAGAGAGAGAGAGAUAGAAGGAAAAAAGAAAACCGGAUCGUUUUCUUCGCAGGGGGGCUUUGACCUCGCAUGCCCCGUGUCUGCACCAGCCGACGCUAGAAUUGUCUCUGCCGGCCAUCUCCGACGCCGCCACCUGCUCCGGCUCGCGACCCCAGCGCCGAUGCCCAGCAUCACCAUCGGAGUCCGAUGCCGCCGUUGCUGUCUCCCUCCUACCACCGUUCGCUCGCAGCAGCUGCCGAACCCCCUCAGCCUCCGCCUACGCCCCUGCGCAGAGCCCGAUCUGCUGCACCAGAACGCUGGUCUCACCCCCGACUCGUCUGCAACCUGCGGCUCAGCAGAUCCUGAGCCGGCCCGCCUCCGUCGUGCUUCCAACUGUCACCCCUGACGCCCACGCCAGUAACCUGCGCUGCUCCGUGACUGCCCAGUGCCCGAUGCCCUUGUCCACGACCGCCCAGUGUCCAACUCCCCCUCCUCUUUGCAACGAUUCUGUAGGCGCUCUGUGCUCGUUGCUGUGGCACCAUCGCCCGCGACGCCCCUCACCGUCGCUGCUUGCCAGCCUUCAUUGGAGCUCCAACGCCGGUCAUCCUCCACCCGGCGCCGACCAAUCUACUGCCCCCCUUUCCUUAGGUUGUUUAUUUUUCUUUUGGUCUUUCGUUUAUUUUAUGUUAUUUAUUUAUUUAUUUAUUUUUGAAGUUUUGCUAUUAUUAUACUAAUUUGAAUGUUGGGAAUUGAUUCUCGUUUUAUUGUAGGCAUUAUCCGCAGGGUUUUCCCUAAAAUUAUUAUAAUUACUAAUUUGACCCGUAAGAUGUCGGGUCAUUUUUUUAGUUAUAUUAAUUUUUAGGGUUUGUUGAUAGUAUUUUAAUUAUUGAAUUAAUAUAAUUAUUAAUCUGAUCCGUAAGAUUUCGGAUCAGAUUUUUAAUUAUUUUGAACUUUAUGUUGUAAUGUUUAGGGUUAAAAUAACCAUUAAUUUAACCCGUGAGACAAUGGAUUAUUUUUUCGGUUAUUUUAAUUCUCAUUUGAUGAAUAUCUUAAUUGUGUAGAUGUAGUUACUUAUCUUGGAAAAACACUAAAAAAAUCAAAAAUCAAAAUAAUCAAAUCGUGCAUUGGCAUGUAGGUUUAGUAGAUUAGACAUGUAAGUUUAGUAAAUUAGACAUGUAGGUUUAGCAAAUUAGAUUGUUUUUAGGAUUACAUUCUUAGGGUUGCAUUAGGGUUAGACCUAAAUAAUUACUUUUUUUAAAUAGGGUCUUAGAUAAUGUUGGCACAUUUUAAUUAUCCCAUUUUUCUUUAAAAAAUAGUUUUCUAAGAUAGGAUAUGGUUUGAGUCAAAUUAAUCCUUGAAAUAAAUUAGAAAAUUAUUCGUUUUUUUAGAUAGUUUAAUUAGGGUUUUUAUUAAUCCCAAAUUUCAAUAAAAAAUACAAAAACACUAGGAGCAUGUUAACUAGUUUGCAUAAUAGGAUAAUUUAAUUAGAGUUUGUUAGUAAAAUUAGGUUUUGCAUGUCACUUAGUGAUUGUUGUUAGGUUUAUUUAAUUAGAAAGUUGCUUGCCAUUAAAAAGAAAUGGUACCGAAAGGGCGGUACCGAAAGGACAUUAGAGAAAUCUAGUGUAACCAAGUUCCUGUACCCUUAGUCUCUGGUUCGUAGGAGUAAAUUAAUUCUCUCAUUAUUUUACUUAUGUGUCUAAUCGACCUACCAAAAAUGGAUGAGUGAUGACUCCUGAUUAAAAAAAAUCAAUUGCAUGUUGAGAAAUUGAACCUAAGUUGCGAAUUGAUAUGGGCUUGGGAGAGCCCGAGCUAAGUUUAGGUUUAGUAAUCCAUUAGCCUAAUUUUAGGUGGUGCACUCGAAAUUUAGGUCGCGACAACAUUAUUAUGUAAGGACCUCGGCCUUCCACUAUGUAAUAUUGUCCUCUUUGGGCCUUCAGCCCUUAUGGCUUUAAAACGCGUUUGAGCCCCGCACUAGCGCGGAUGUAUCCCAUCCCAGUCGGGCCACCCUCAAGGCUUUGUUCUCAGUACAGUGAAAGCCUGUGUGAAACGCGUUACACAGGUUAGAGAACCCAAGCCUUAUAAAUUAGCCUAGGACUCCCCCCUAAGCGAUGUGGGACAUGAGACACGACCCCUCCCUGCGCACGUUUGGGGACCGAGGCGCGGACAUACUGCCAUCCCUCCUCCCCGCACACCUCCGCUUGGGCCGUCACAUACCCUUAGUCUCGCCCGUGUACUGCCAAGGCGAUCUUAGUCUGUCCCUUCGUACUACCCCGGGUCUGGAUUGUCACAUAUUAUGUAUUAUAUACACUAUAUUUAUUCAAAUAUGUAUCCAAGUAGCGAUUUUAUGUUAGUUAAUACUGUAUAAAGUGUGAGAUUAAGAAAAAUAAAAAAAAAUAUUUGAAAAUCCUCAAAUUUUGACAUUACCACUUUACUAUUCAAUUAAAAUCUGUCUUCUACAUAAAAUUUAGUUUGGGACAUAUCCAAAUAGGAAUUCCAGGCUAGGCAACCAGCAAUAAAAAUGUGAGAGUGAAAAAAAAAAGAGCGUAAAGUUCAUCGAAAAAAAAAACACCAAGAACACAAUCAAUCAAGUAAUAAAACUUUGAAGAGAAAACCGCGACAUGAAAUUAAAAAAAUCAGACAAUUAAUUAAUUUCCAAAAUAUUUUAACUAAGUUUCUUGGAGUAAUUGAAAGUUCCCCGGUUGGCCGUUUACCCUCUUGAUGAUGGCCUGUUUAUAUCCAGCAAUAGCACUGGUGGUGGUGGUUGUUUGAGAAUUGACAAAAGCACCGCCAGUCUCCGUGUAUUCAAAAGAGAGGAGUUUGGCAUUAACAUGGAAAAGAAGACGACAUACGAUCACCAGAUGAAAGGAAUACAUCCCAUCAAUAUAACGUAAAUCUUAGCAAUGAUAAUGUUGUGGUCUCAUGAUAGAUGAUGGGCCAAAGAUCCGGUCCAAUCCAUUGCCAUUUUACUUUCUUUUUCAAGUAAGAAAACAUCUCGCCUUAGCCCAAGAAGAAGCCAUCAAAUAUGACUAACGAUUUACAACGACCCUUCUUCUCCCGAUGACCUUCAGAAAAAGAAUAAAACUUUUAUUAUUGAUUAAAAAAUUCGACCAAAAAAAAUUAUAACAAAAGCGCAAGAAUUUUAAUAAUCUUAAUCCGUUCAAUGAUAGUUUCAAAAUAGUUGCUCUAUCAAGAUGAACACAAAAAUCAAAUCAGCAUCGCAAAACAAAUGACUUUUGAUCACCAUGCUCUCAUUUUCUUACUUUUUUUUCUCCUUUUUUCUAAGAAGGAAACCCUUUUCCACUAGAAUCUCCUUUCCAAAAGCAAAAUCAUCCAGUCAAUAUGUACGACGGCAACCAAGAUUCUUUUUCUGGAGCAAUUAAAUGGGUUUUGACAUCUUUUCAAGAUUGAAAAGGUAGGCGAAGCAAAACUCACUUUUGCUACAGAAAAAAGUCUUUUCUGUUUAAUUUCUUUAAAGUGCAUUACCAAAGCCAAAAUCAUUUUUUAUUGUUCUCGAUGAUGCAUCGCCUAAUUAGUCCAAUGCUUUUCUUGCUGGAGCCAUCAAUAAAAGCCCUAGACAAUUAUUUUUGGCCCCCCAAACAAAAAAGUAUAAUUGUACGUGAAUCAUGUGGAAAGUUCUUUGCUUUCAUAACGAAGGACAAUGCGUUCCAUGCAUUUGGAUUGAGAAGAAUUAAAAGUGAUUUUUUCUUUAAAAUAGUCCAAUCAAUUCGCUAGUGCUACGAAAAUUAUUAUGAACUCUUGGCAUUGUUUUAUUUUUUAUUAAUAUAUUUCAUAAAAUUUAAUAUAAUAAACUAAACUACGAGGGAGAUAGAAAGACUAGAUAGCCAAAUUUAUGGGAAGAAAAGGGUCUAGUUUAAUAUUUUUUGCCAAAGAAUGUUCAGUCACAAAAGGUUGUGGAUUGUCAUCACAAGUAUUCUUCUCCACAAGAAAGGACAUUACCAAUGGAAUAUCGUGUGUAUCUAUCUAAUCAGAGUUAUUAUCGACCUUUUUUUUUCCUUUCCAUUAAGAAAAGAGAAGCAUAUUACAAAUUGAUUGUAACUUCAUAUGUCGACAUAUGUAAUGCCACUUCUAUUUCAUCCGUUAACACAAUUUCUUGUCAUGGUUUCUUGUCUUCUACUUUUUGAAUGAUUGUGUUCUCGUCAUGGUACUUUGUAUGUUAAGAUGAAUUGGGUGUGAAUAAAAAAAAAAAUGCUGAUUUUGUAAUUUACUGUCGCAGUUUUUUUUAUUUUUUUUCUUUUUGUGUUGAUUGAUUGUGUUCUUGGUGUUUUUCCAUGAACUAUAUGUUUUGUUUCACUCUCAUAUUUUACUACUAUAGAAAACCGAUAGGAUUUGAACAGUAAAGUGGGGGAAAAUUGGGGAAACAAAGUUUAUGUUGGUUUUCUUUUUUGGCUUAGGAAAGUUAGGCCAUGUUUGUUAAAAAGUGUUUCUGUUCUCCGGAACAAAAAUUUAUGUUCUUUCGUUCCGAGGAACGAAAAAAGAACAAAAACGUAUUUGGUAAAACUUUUACUCUCAGGAAUAAAAAAUCUAUUUUUUUUUUUGUUUCCAGAAAUAGAUUUGAAACAAAAAUAAGAAGUAAAAAAAAGUAGCUUAUUGUUUCUGGGAACAAUUUUUAGAAACAAUUUUUCUCUUUCUUUUUUCUUUUGGCCAGUCGCUGGCCUUAGCCAUGGUUGGCGUUGGCGAUCGGCCAAAUGAGGGCCGGAGACGCCGCGCCAUGGCAAGGCUUGUCAGCCCGAGCCUCGCCGUGGCUGGGUGAGGUCGGCCUCGCCUAGAUAUAGCAAGACCAAGCCUCGCCGGCCCUCACCUUAGCCUGGCGAGACUCCGGCAAGCUCGCUGGACCUCACCCAACCGGUCACUGGCCGCCGACGACUGGCUACAAAGAGGAAGAAUGAGAGAAAAGAAAAAAGAAAGAAGAAAAAAAAGGAAAAUAUAAUAAAAUAUUAAAAAACUAAAAGAAACAAUAAAAUUAUACAAUUUUACCAAACAUAUUUCUUUCCCAGAAAUAGAAAUUUUGUGUAGUUACCAAGAGCAUUCUUAUACUUAGAAAUUGUUCCCUAAAAAAAAAAAAAAACUAUUUCUGUUCAAAAAUUAUUCUCCAGAACAGAAACGUUACCAAACGCGUCAUUAACCCUAUUCUUAUGAAGUCACCUCAUGCUAACUUUACAAUGUGGCGGAGUAACGUAAGUUCAAAUAAUACACUUCAUUAGGUGGUCUACAGUCUGUGUUCUUCACUCGAUCCAAGUACAAGUCAAGUCUCCUUCACCAUUUAAUUUAAAAGAAGUCUUGAACAAUAGGUUGUUUUCUUUGUGGGAUCGCUCAUUUUGUACGUAAAAUAAUAAUAUAAUAUAAACUGACUUAGGUUGAUUAGACCUGCGCGUCAGCCCGAUUCGAACCUGGCCAGAGAAGAGGGCCGUCUUUUGUCCUCUCUCAUUUUCUUUUCAUUCCCUUUUUUAUUUUUAUUUUUUUCUCCCUUCCUCUGUGACAUCCCAAAUUUCUAAUUUCGUUUUCAAUUAAAUGAGACCGACUUUUCAUCGAUGCACUUAUAGUUCAAUUCUCCGAGUUGAUCACUCACAAUAUAACUAGUUUGUUAGGUGAAGCCGUUAAGGAAUUUAAAUGCAAUAGGUUUGAGAAUAUGACCAUGAAUCGGCUGCUUAACCGUAUUAAUCUGUAAGGAUGAUUAUGACACUGUCAGAAUCGAACAGAGAUCAGUAAUAGGUCGAUUCAACUAAGAUAUGUGAUUAGAGUGUGGGUGAUUCCACCUAAUUUCAAUAUCCUCGUCGAUCGGCACUAAACCGAUUCUUCUGUCAUUUUGGGUACCCUAUGUCCAUAAUUGAAACAUCGAGAUUUUUACGACAACCGAGAGUCACCAAUGUGUUGAAGAUUAUGUAGUGGCUUGAAAAUAAUCAACCAUGGGUUAAUUGCACUGAAAAUUUCUAAAAGCUACUUGGUAGAUUAGGACGCGCUCAAAUUGCGCCAAAUUGAAAUUAACCGUGAUUUUAAAUCCGAAUUCAGAAAUUGAAAGUUCUGUCAUGUCACAAUUCAUUUUAGGAACAUUGACUCAUCUUUAGAAUAUUUUUCUGCAAACCAGGAUUUUUGGCGAAAAAGCAAAGUAAGGCCUUUUUGUUCGGGAUUGUUUUUUUUUUUUUUGAGCAAAUUGUUCGGGAUUGUUAGAGGGUCGUUUUUUGAUCGAAUCUUUGGGAUGCAAGUUGGAUCAUUUGAUGGGAAAAAGACAUAAGAAGGUUGAGGACACAUGGACGAAUUUAAUUGAGCUUCAAUUUGAUGGAAUUGAGUGAGAAUUGGUUGGAUUUGAUGUACAAAUAUCCAAAAUUCGUAACUCCCUUGGCACAUGACAUUUUGAGCACUUUGUCAAGCUUGUUGAGGAAGCUAAUGAAGGGCAAAUGGCUGAGGGGUGGGCCGGCCAUGGUGGGGGCAAGAGAGAGGGGAGAAGGACAAGCGUUAAGCCCUUAAGAGCUCUUGGGGUCCCUAUUUGAUUCAGCCACUUCAUCUUCUCCAAUAGACUUCACUUUCUCCAUUGUUAUCCUCCUUUGAGCUCCCAAGAACUAGCAAAACUGAGCCAGCCUUCCCUCCUUGCCGUCGUACACCCGUCCGGCCACCAAACCGUCGCUCCGUCUGCCAUUGCAAGCUGCUGGUCACCGCUCGCUGUCCAGCUUGUUCGCGCACCGUCUCGCCCAGCUCACGCCACCAGCUGCUAUCCCAAAGGUCCCUAGUCGUCGAUCAGCCAUCGUCAGACCACUGGAGCCACUGCAUGCACCCGCUUAACCUCCGCCUGCUCGCUACCGCUCCUCCUUCGUCGUUCAGCCUCAACCGUCGCCGGUUCCAGCCCUUGCUGGUCCAAGAUUAGAAGAGAAAUCCAGCAAGACCUUAGAGGCUUUGAGGCCCAUUUUUGGUGUCUUCCCGGCCUCCAUUGGUGUCAUCGCUUCGGGGUUUAUUGGCCGCACUGGCAUCAUGGUCGCCAUGAACUCACUGGCGCGCAAAACCAGUGAGUUUAUCCUAUAAACCUCGCUUAGUAAGUUAAUUAUGCUUAAGGGAUGUUUAGAUUAGUCUAAGUAAGUUUAGGUGGUUAGAUUAGAUUAUUUAAAUGUUAAUUAGAUUAGUUGUAUGAUUAGUUUAGUGGUUGAUUAAUUAGGGCUAAUUGUAUGUUUAAAUUAGUAUAAUCUUGUUUAAGCCCCUAAUUAAUUAUUUUUAAUUAAUUAAUUUAAAAGAUAGAUAGUAUGAUUGAUUUGAAUCGUUGGUACUGAUUUGAUUGGUUGAUUUAUGAAAUGUACUGACGUGCAAGAAGGAACUGAGGCAAGAUAAGUCCUUAAUCCUCUUUGUGUGGCUAGAGCACCAUGGAGCUUAUUUUCUUCCUAAUCGAGUCUUAGAAGGUAGGACUCGUUGAGAUGUUGUCUCAACCCGUUGUGGGAUAAUAUUUUCAAGUCCUUAAAUGGCGGAUCCUCUGGAGCUUUUUGGUAGACCAGUGAGGGUCACUGAGAGGAUUUUUGACUUUGCCGAUCUCGGAAGUCAUUGGGUCUAUGAACUUGCGGUGACUACUGUCUGGGUCAAUGAGAACCUUCCUCAUAGGGUCCCUCAUCGAUUUAGAGCGUGGUAUCGCUAUAGACCCGAUGGAUUCCUGGAUGAUCCUCUCAAGUGUUUUGAUCUUCCCCCCAGUAUCAUAGAUGCCGCUCUAGGUGAGAGUGUUGUUGAUCCUCCAUAUUGGUUGGUGGAAGACUCGACGCCCCUUGUGCCCGUGAAGACUGAUGAGCUGGCGACUGGAUUUGACUAGCUGAUCUUAGGACAGGUUAGUUUUUGAGGACUGAUCUUUUAUAGAUCUUUUGUUAAUAGCCUAGUCCUAUAAAUGAACUGAUUUGAUGUGUAUAAAGGUGUGUGGUUUGGAUUUAAAAAUGUGAUCCUACUUUUCUAUCCCAAUUGAGUUUUGUCUUGAGAUUAUUUACCUGCUUCUGCAUAUGCAUUAAAAUGAAUGGGUCGGCGACGUGUCCUGAGAAGUCGCUUUUCUAUCGACCACAGUGGGAUGUGCGCGUGCUCGAGGUUCAGGGCAUGACAUCCCCGUUUAAGUAAUAUUAGAGCAGGUUUAUGAAUGAAGUAAUAAGGUACGAUGGUUUAUAAGAUAGUUAGUAGGAAUGACUUUGAUUUCAUGCUGGUGCAUGUGAUUGUUUGUUGAUUGGUAAAUUGUUUGGUAGAUCACUCAAUUCUAAAUCAUUGAGGAUUUGGAAAGUAGGUGUUUGUAGAGAACCUGCGUUAUGAGUGAUCAAGAGCGGACUCCUAAGAAGAGGACCAUGGGUCUAGUUACUCAGGGUAAGACGCCAAUAAGGGUCGGUACUUGAGGUGGACGUGGUCGAGUGCAAGCUAAGGUUAGCGUUAGUGGAGUAGCACCACCUCCUGUUGGUGCUGGAGUAGCAGCCCCUGGUGAUCCCAAGAUCGACGAGAUCAUGCAAAUGCUUGAGGCCAUGGGAAAUCGGAUGGAUCAGCGGGCUCAGAAUCAAGCCGCCGUUACUAUUGCUACUGUCGCCGCCACCGCACCUGUUGCCGCACCCACCACCGCACCUAUUGCCGUGCCUGUUGCCGCACCAGUUGCCGUGCCUGUUGCCGCACCAGUUGCCGCGCCUAUUGCCGCACGAAUUGCUUUGCCUGUUGUUGCAUCUGCUGAAAUUCCACCUGGGAACGUGGUCACUAGGAGACCAAUUCAUAAGUUAGUAGAGCAUUUCCUAAAGCUGAACUCGUGGAAGUUCUUUGGUGAAGGAGAUCCUGAGGCUGCGUCGCUCUAGGUCUAAGGUCUUGAUAAAGCUUUUGCAUUUCUAAUGUGCAAUGAAGAGGAGAAAGUGGUUUUGGCUGUGUACCAACUACAAAGUAACGCCAAUAUCUGGUAGAGAGCCGCCAAAGAGAUAGUAUUUCCUGAAGGUGUGACUCCGUGUGAGACGCUUUCCUAAGAGCCUUCAAUGAUCAGUACUUUUCAGGUAGUGCCUGAGAGCAGAAGAUGGAGGAAUUUCAGCGCCUCCGUCAAGGAUCGAUGUUUGUUGAUCAGUAUGGGGUCAAAUUUACAAAGCUUUCUCAGUAUGCUCCGAGGUUAAUUGCGGAUCCAGAAGAAAAAGCUAGAAUGUUCAGGAAUGGUCUUCAUCUUGAAUUGAAGCAAUCUCUACUACCGUUAGAUCUGACAGAAUAUCGAGAAGUCUAUGGUCGAGCUCAAAUGAUAGAGAGAGGUUUGAAUGAGCAAGUCGCCUCAUCUGGAUCGAGGUUUAACAUGAAUCGUGAUGGAAUCCGAUUAAGGAAGAAGCCCAUGACCGGAGGAAAGCAUCAUGUUCCACCCAAUAGGAAGGGUGGAAUUGGAAAGCCAACGCCAAAUCAGAAUGGUGCGUGUCGCUUCUACGAAAGGCGACAUGGUACAGCCCCAUGCCAUCUUAGGAUGGGUAUUUGCUACGAGUGUGGCUAGCAUGGACACUUGGCUAGAGAUUGUCCCAGAAAGCAGAGAGGGCCGCAAUAAUUACCGCCGCCGCUACUGCUAUCGUUGGGUCAGAAUAGGGGAUUCGCGCCGCAAAUCGCACCAUAGGGUGGACCGAUUAGACCUCCAGCUUAAGGAAGAACAUAUGCCAUCACAAGAGGACAGGCGGAGGAUGCACCUCAUGUGAUUACAAGUACGGUUUCGUUGAACGAUCAUGCUGUUUAUGUUUUGUUUGACCUUAGCACCACUCAUUCCUUUAUAGUUGCACAGUUUGUUAAGCUGAUAGGAUUAAGUCCUAAAUUAUUGGAGUCAAUGGUUAGCAUAUCUGCACCGUUAAAGGAUAAGGUGUUAAUUGCAUUGGGUUGUUCUAGUUGCAAGUUAGUGAUUAGUGAGGGAGAGGGGGAAAUAGAUCUGAUAGUUCUAGCCAUAUAUGAUUUUGAUGUGAUAAUUGGCAUGGACUGCCUCACCAAGCAACGAGUUAAGAUGGACUAUUAUCAUAAGUCGAUUCAGUUUAACCCGUUAGGGGGUGAGAGUUUCAAGUUCACUAGGAGUCAAGGAGGACCCUCUAUUACCCUAAUCUCGUCACUUGAGGCAACCUGUUUGUUAGACGGGGCUUGUCAAGGUUACUUGGCAACUGUCAUGGAUACGACAAUCUAGGAGCUGAAGCUAAAAGAUAUAUCAGUGGUUUAAGAAUUUGCAGAUGUGUUUCCUAAAGAGUUGCCAGGUCCACCGCCAGAGAGAGAGAUCGAGUUUGUGAUUGAGCUAGCACCCGGGACAAAGCCAAUCUUUAAGGCUCCUCAACGGAUGACGUUGUCUGAAUUGAAUGAACUGAAGUGCAGAUGCAAGAAUUGCUGGAUAAGGGCUUCAUAUGCCCUAACGCAUCGCCUUGGGGAGCACCAAUUCUAUUUGUAAAGAAGAAGGAUGGUUCGUUACGUCUGUGCAUCGACUACCGUCAACUAAAUCAAGUGACGAUCAAGAAUAAGUAUCCACUCUCAAGGAUCAACGACUUGUUUGACCAACUUCAAGGAGCGUCGAUAUUUUCAAAGAUCGACUUGAGGACAGGAUAUCAUCAGUUGAGGAUCAAGAAGGAAGAUAUACCGAAAUCAGCGUUUCGUACUCGAUACAACCAUUAUUAAUUUACUGUAAUGUUGUUUGGUUUGACGAAUGCUUCAGCUGCUUUUAUGGAUCUGAUGAACCAUGUGUUUAAGGAGUAUCUGGAUUAGUUUGUGAUCGUGUUCAUCGACGACAUCUUGGUGUACUCAAGAAGUUUAGAAGAACAUGAAAGACAGUUGAAGAUAAUGCUACAGACUCUGAGGAAUCAUGAGUUGUAUGCCAAGUUUAGUAAGUGCGAGUUUUGGUUAACUCGUGUGGCGUUCCUAAGUCACGUGAUUUCAGGCGAAGGAAUAUCAGUGGACUCGUCUAAGAUUGAAGCAGUGAUCAACUGGCAGAGACCGAUGACAGUAAUAGAGAUCAGAAGUUUUCUAGGUUUGGCAAGGUAUUACAGAAGGUUUGUGGAAGGGUUUUCAGCGUGAGCGUCGCCGUUGACUCGACUACUGAAGAAGGAAGAGAAGUUCGUGUGGACAGACGAGUGUGAGCAUAGUUUUCAAGAGCUUAAGAAGAGGCUGACUACCGCACCUGUGCUGACUAUACCGUUUGGUUCUGGAGGUUAUGAGAUCUACAGUGAUGCUUCAUUCAGUGGACUGGGUUGCGUGCUGAUGCAACAUGGUAAGGUUGUUGCAUACGCGUCCCGUCAGUUGACGCCUAAUGAAUUGAAUUACCCGGCGCAUGACUUAGAACUUACAGCUAUUAUCUUUGCUUUGAAGAUUUGGAUACAUUAUUUGUGCGAAGAAAGAUUCCAGAUCUUCACUGACCAUCAGAGUCUCAAGUAUUUAUUCUCUCAGAAGGAGUUGAAUAUGAGAUAGUGUCGCUGGAUGGAACUCCUGAAAGACUAUAGGAUUGUGAUAUUCUGUAUCACCCUGGAAAAGCAAAUAAGGUCGUGGAUGCUCUAAUUUGGAAGUCUUCAGUUGCUCAAAUGGUGCUCAAGGAAUGAAGAUUAAUCGAGAAAGUUCGAGAUUCAAGUUUCAAAUUUGAGGUAGGCCACCUUUUGAACCUUAUGGCCACUCUCAGAAUUGAGUCGGAAGUUCAUAUCAGAAUCAAGAUGCUUUAGUGGACAGAUCCAGAAAUUCAGAAGAUUCUGCAAAAGAAUACGAAAAAGAAGAAUGCUAACUUUUAGAUUGCUGAGGAUAGAACACUGAGGUUCUAAGGACGAUUGUGUGUACCUGACAAUGUAGAGCUUAAAGAAGAGAUUUUAUCAAAGGCUCAUCGUAGUAGUUACAGUAUUCAUCCUGACAGUACGAAGAUUUAUCAGAAUCUGCGUCAAUAUUAUUGGUGGUCUGGUAUGAAGGCGGACAUCGCCAAGCAUGUCGUCAAAUGUCUGACCUAUCAGCAAGUAAAGGCACAGUACUAUAAGCCGGGAGAAUUUCUGCAACCUCUCGAGAUUUCCGAGUGGAAAUGGGAACAUAUCACGAUGGACUUCGUGACUGGACUACCAAGGAGUCAGAGAGGAAUGAUUCGAUUCGGGUAGUGGUCAACAGAUUGACAAAAUUGGCUCACUUUAUUGCAGUGUAAAAGGACCAUAGUUUGGAUAGACACGCAGACCUGUACGUGCGUCAGAUCGUUCGUCUGCAUGGAGUGCUAGUAACGAUUACUUCAUACAGAGACUCGAGGUUCACAGCCACCUUUUGGAAAAGCUUGCAGAGUGCUUUGGGUAUGAAGCUACAGUACAGUAGGCCUAUCAUCCUCAAAUGGAUGGCCAGUCUGAGAGGACAAUUCAAACCUUUGAAGACAUGCUGCGAGCUUGCGAACUGGAUUUUAGGGGAAAUUGGGAAGAGCAGCUUCAUCUCGUCGAAUUUGCCUACAACAAUAGUUAUCAGCAGAGUAUAUAGAUGGCGCCUUUUGAAGCGUUGUAUGGCAGAGCGUGUAGAACGCCCGUGUGUUGAGAUGAGGUUGGAGAAAGAAAGCUUACAGGCCCAGAGUUAGUCCAGCAAUUAGUGGAUGCAGUUACAUGAUCAGAAGAAGAUUACAGAUUGCUCAGAGUCACCAGAAAAGCUACGUAGACAGUGCCGAGACCGUUGAGUUCCAAGUUGUGAUCAUGUUUUCUAAGGUGUCGCCAAUGAGGGGCACUUCGCACUUUAGCAAGAAAGGAAAACCGAGUCCGAGGUACGUAGGUCCCUUUGAGAUUCUAGAAAGAAUCGGGAUUCUGGCUUAUCGUCUUGCAUUACCACCAAAGUUGGCGCAAGUACAUGACGUCUUUCACGUGUCGAUGUUGAGAAAGUAUGAGCCUAACUCGACCCACGUGCUUAAUUUUGAGGAAUUGGACGUGGACAAUAGAAUAUCGUACGUUGAAAACCUGGUUCAGAUUAUUGAUCGCAAAAAGCAAGUUCUGCACACCAAGACCAUUCUGUUAGUCAAAGUGGUCUGGCAACACCACGGUACCCAAAGAGCAACUUGGGAAAGUGAAGAGUCGAUGAGAGAAUUGUACCCCCACCUUUUUGUUCAAAGAUUGUAAUGGUUUAAAUUUCAAUGAUGGAAUUUUUAUAAGAGGAGAAGAGUUGUGACAUUCCAAAUUUCUGAUUCUGUUUUCAAUUAAAUGAGACGGACUUUUCAUCGACGCGCUUAUAAUUCAAUUCUUCGAGCUAAUCACUCACAAUAUAACUAGUCUAUUAGGUGAAGCCGUUAAGAAAUUUAAAUGCAAUAGGCUUGAGAAUCUGACCAUAAAUCGGUUGCUUGACCGUAUUAAUCUGCAAAGAUCAUUACGACAUUGUCACAAUCGAACAGAGAUCAGUAAUAGGUCGAUUCGACUGAGAUAUGUGAUUAGAGUGUGGGUGAUUCCACAUGAUUUCAAUAUCCUCGUCAACUGGCACUAAAACGAUUCUUCUGUCAUUUUGGGUACCCUGUUCCGUAAUUGAAACAUCGAGAUUUUUACGACAACCGAGAAUCACCAAUGUGUCGAAGAUUAUGUAGUGGCUUGAAAAUAAUCAACCACGGGUCAAUUGCACUGAAAAUUUCUAAAAGCUACCCAGUAGCUCAAAUCGUGCCAAAUUAAAAUUAAUCGUGAUUUUAAACCCGAAUUCAGAAAUUAAAAGUUCUGUCAUGUCACAAUUCAUUUUAGAAACGUUGACUCAUCUUCAGAAUAUUUUUCUGCAAACCAGGAUUUUUGGCGGAAAAACAAAGUAAUGCUGUUUUUGUUCGGGAUUGUCAGAGGGCCGUUUUUUGAUCGAAUCUUUGGAAUGCAAGUUGGAUCAUUUCAUGAGAAAAAGACAUAAGAAGGUUGAGGACACAUGGACCGAUUUAAUUGAGCUUUAAUUGGAUGGAAUUGAGUGAGAAUUGGUUGGAUUUGACGUACAAAUAUUCAAAAUUCGUAACUCCCUUGGCACGUACAUUUUGGGCACUUUGCCAAGCUUGUUGAGGAAGCUAAUGAAGGGCAAAUGGCUGAGGGGUGGGCUGGCCAUGGUGGGGGCAAGAGAGAGGGGAGAAGGACAAGUGUUAAGCCCUUAAGAGCUCUUGGGGCCCCCCUUUAUUUAGCCACUUCAUCUUCUCCAAUAGACUUCACUUUCUCCAUUGUUGUCCUCCUUUGAGCUCCCAAGAACCAGCAAAACCGAGCCAGCCUUCCCUCCUUGCCGUUGCAUGCCUGUUUGGCCACCAAACCACUGCUCCGUCCACCGUUGCAGGCUGCUGGUUGCUACUCGCUGUCCAGCUUCUCCACGCGCCGUCUCACCCAGCUCGCGCCACCUGCUGCUGUCCCGAAGGUCCCUAGUCGUCGAUCAGCCAUUGUCAGACUGCCGGAGCCACCGCCUGCACCCACCUGACCUCCGCCUAUCCGCUGCCACUCCUCCUUCGUCGUUCGGCCUCAACCAUCGCUGGUUCUAGCCCUUGCCAAUCCAAGAUCAAAAGAGAAAUCCAGCAAGACCUUAGAGGCUUCGAGGCCCGUUUUUGGUGUCUUCCCGGUCUCCAUUGGUGUCACCGCUUCAGGGUUUAUCGACCGCCUUGGUGUCGUGGUCACCGUGAACUCACUGGCACGCAAAACCAGUGAAUUUAUCCUCUAAACCUCGCUUAGUAAGUUAAUUAUGCUUAAGGGGUGUUUAGAUUAGUCUAAGUAACUUUAGGUGGUUAGAUUAGAUUAUUUAAAUGUUAAUUAGAUUAGUUGUAGAUUAGUUUAGUGGUUGAUUAAUUAUGGCUAAUUGUAUGUUUAAAUUAGUAAAAUAUUAUUUAAGCCCUAAUUAAUUAUUUUUAAUUAUUUAUUUAUUUCGAAUUUUAUAAAUAUUAUUUUAUUAAAUUAUAUUAUUAUAAUAUAAUAAUUAAUUAUUUAAUUUUAGGAAUUUAAUUUAAUUAUUUAAUAUUUUUGAAAAUUUUGCCGAGAUGGCUGAUUGUUAGAAUUUUGCAUUGAUCACAACAGUGCGAUCAGUUUGUGCUAAUUGUAUGUUAAAUUGAGAAAUUAAGUGAAAAUGAUAAUUGUGGAUAAUUAUUCUCAAAGUGUGGAAUUGAGUGAAAUUGGAGAAGUUUUGGUAUUUAACUUGAAAAUACCCGGUGUCGACUUUUGGCACCGUAAUUGGUUUGUAGGACAGUUUGUAUCGUGGAUCUAAAUGAAUUGUUUAUCCAGUUCUCUGGUUUAUUAUUGAUUAUAUAGCUUUGGCGAGCUAUUAUAUAUGCUACAGCUUUGGCGAGCUAUUGUAUAUGUUACAACUUUGGUAAGCUACCGUCUAUAUAUUAUAGCUUUGAAGAGCAUAUGCCUUAUUGACGAAUGAUUUGAUAGACGGUAUUAAAAGAUAGAUAGUAUGAUUGAGUUGAAUCAUUGGGACUGAUUUGAUUGGUUGAUUUAUGAAAUGUACUGAUGUGCAGGAAGGAACUGAGGCGAGGUAAGUCCUCAAUCCUCUCUGUGUGGCUAGAGUGCCCUGGGGCUUUUUUUUUUCCUAAUCGAGUCUUAAAGGGUAGGACUCGCUGAGACAUUAUCUCAUCCCAUUGUAGGAUAAUAUUUUAAGGUCCCUAAAUAACGGAUCCUCCAAAGCUUUUUGUAGACUAGUGAGGGUCACUGAGAGGAUUUUUUACUAUGCCGAUCCUGGAAGUCAUUGGGUCUAUGAACUUGCGAUGAAUACUGUCUGGGUCGAUGAGAACCUUCCUCAUAGGGUCCCUCAUCGAUUCAGAGCGUGGUAUCGCUAUAGACCCGAUGGAUUCCUGAAUGGUCCUCUAAAGUGUUUUGAUAUUCCCCUUGGUAUCAUAGAUGCCGCUCUAGGUGAGAGUGUUGUUGAUCCUCCAGAUGGGUUGGUGGAAGACCCGACGCCCCCGGUGCCAUUGAAGACUGAUGAACUGGCAACUAGAUCUAACUAGCUGGUCUUAGGAUAGCUUAGUUUUUGAGGACUGGUCUUCUAUAGAUCUUUUGUUAAUAGCCUAGUCCUGUAAAUGAACUAGUUUGAUGUGUAUAAAGGUGUGUGGUUUGGAUUUAAAAAUGUAAUCCUGCCUUUCUAUCCCAAUUGAGUUUUGUCUAGGGAUUAUUUACCUGCUUUCGUAUGUGCAUUAAAAUAAAUGGGUCGGCGACAUGUCCUGAAAAGUCACUUUUCUAUCGACCGUAGUGGGAUGUGCACAUGCUUGAGGUUCGGGGCGUGACAUCCUCCCUCCCUUCCUCUCUCUCUCUCUUGUCUCUUCUCCCUCUCUGCACAAACCAAGCCAUGUCAGCAUGGUCCAGCAAGCCCGAAAUAGGGCAUGAACACAAAAACAGGGGCGGUCGGCCCAGAGUCCCUACUGGGCUCGCAGCAUCGGACGGCGGAUGAGCUCAAAGACCGGGCUACGUUCGGCCACCUCGCGCACCUCCGAGCUGAGAUCCUUGGGAAACCGACCCCGAGUCGUGGCAAUCAAAGAACGAUGGACGAAGCACCACCCUCCGUAGGUUGAUUCGGAAAGGGAGAGGGCGAACGCUGGUGAGCCCCUGGCCGUACUCGUCGCCCGAGGACGCUAAAUUUCUCACUCGGCUUUUUCUCGCCGCUCACCCCUUCGAUCUCCUCUGUCUCCCCCCUCCCAUUCUCUCUUGCCGAAGACUCCUAUUUAUAGGCCGAGAAGGCUUCGGCCGCAAUGUGCAGCCAACGAAAAAGGGCAUCUCUAUUGCCCCAAUCAUUGCAUCAGUUGCGGCCAUUCUGGUCUUGAUUUUCAUUGGGAGCUCUUGAAGUAUUGUGGAUAAUCAAAAGAAGACAAAUCCAAGGUGACUUUCUUGCGUAUUGCAUGUGCAAGAAAAAUCAAAAUCUCUCACAUGGGAUUUUGUUAGUCCAGGUCAAGUUUUGAACCCCAUACUGGUUUUGCAGAUCAUCAGCAGAACGAACGCUUUUGUCUCAUGACCUUUUUUUUUUUUUUUGGGUUAGUCCUACUCUAUUCCUACUCUACACUCACUCUCAGACUUUUGCCCUACCUCUUGCAGGGCGUGGGAGUCGAAACCUACUCCUGAAACUUACGCGUCCCCACCCCAUCUCUUCCUGAAAAGGUGGGGAUUUGAACCCCUCACCUCCCCCUUCCAUGUGGGAAGGGUGACCACUGAAGCGUAUCCCAGUGUUUUUGUCUCAUGACCAAAUAGCUCAAAAAUGUUUACAAGUUAGUAAGAUACCAUAUAGUUUUCAAGAACAUAUUUUUUUAAAAAAAAAUCUCAUGAAGUGGUCAAAAAAUUGAAUUUUGCAAAUCCUUUGAGUUUGAAUUUAUUUCCACACUAAUACCAGAACCUCCGAAACUCACUUUCCAGCAAUUUUUAUCGUAAUCAUGGACUAAUUUAGCAUUCGAAUCAGCGGAGAAUUUUUAGACAUGUAAAAAUUAAUUUAAUUUCAAAAAAUUUCCAUAUACACUACUAUAUUUGUUUAAAAAUGCUUUAAAAUUCCGAAAUUUGCCCGAAUAUUAUAAUACGAAAAAUGACAUAAGCACGUCGUUUUUCCAUCCACUGAGUGCGACAAAAUUUCAAGUAUCCUUCUUUUUAUUGCUUACCAGAAAUUCAUAAUAUUCGAGAAAUUACAGGAAAUUGCAAUGAUUCAAAAAAAUCUCCAGAAAAUUCGCACAACGAAAUAGACGGAUCGGACCCCACACAGAGAGAAAACAGAUUUCAGGUUGAUUCCAGUCACUCGGGUUAUACGGCAGAGAGAGAUCAAAAUUACAAAUCCUCCAUCACAAAACAAUGCCGGGCCGUUUAUCUUUUCCUUGGAAAUUUAAUUUAAUUAUUUAAUAUUUUUGAAAAUUUUGCCGAGAUGGCUGAUUGUUAGAAUUUUGCAUUGAUCACAACAGUGCGAUCAGUUUGUGCUAAUUGUAUGUUAAAUUGAGAAAUUAAGUGAAAAUGAUAAUUGUGGAUAAUUAUUCUCAAAGUGUGGAAUUGAGUGAAAUUGGAGAAGUUUUGGUAUUUAACUUGAAAAUACCCGGUGUCGACUUUUGGCACCGUAAUUGGUUUGUAGGACAGUUUGUAUCGUGGAUCUAAAUGAAUUGUUUAUCCAGUUCUCUGGUUUAUUAUUGAUUAUAUAGCUUUGGCGAGCUAUUAUAUAUGCUACAGCUUUGGCGAGCUAUUGUAUAUGUUACAACUUUGGUAAGCUACCGUCUAUAUAUUAUAGCUUUGAAGAGCAUAUGCCUUAUUGACGAAUGAUUUGAUAGACGGUAUUAAAAGAUAGAUAGUAUGAUUGAGUUGAAUCAUUGGGACUGAUUUGAUUGGUUGAUUUAUGAAAUGUACUGAUGUGCAGGAAGGAACUGAGGCGAGGUAAGUCCUCAAUCCUCUCUGUGUGGCUAGAGUGCCCUGGGGCUUUUUUUUUUCCUAAUCGAGUCUUAAAGGGUAGGACUCGCUGAGACAUUAUCUCAUCCCAUUGUAGGAUAAUAUUUUAAGGUCCCUAAAUAACGGAUCCUCCAAAGCUUUUUGUAGACUAGUGAGGGUCACUGAGAGGAUUUUUUACUAUGCCGAUCCUGGAAGUCAUUGGGUCUAUGAACUUGCGAUGAAUACUGUCUGGGUCGAUGAGAACCUUCCUCAUAGGGUCCCUCAUCGAUUCAGAGCGUGGUAUCGCUAUAGACCCGAUGGAUUCCUGAAUGGUCCUCUAAAGUGUUUUGAUAUUCCCCUUGGUAUCAUAGAUGCCGCUCUAGGUGAGAGUGUUGUUGAUCCUCCAGAUGGGUUGGUGGAAGACCCGACGCCCCCGGUGACAUUGAAGACUGAUGAACUGGCAACUAGAUCUAACUAGCUGGUCUUAGGAUAGCUUAGUUUUUGAGGACUGGUCUUCUAUAGAUCUUUUGUUAAUAGCCUAGUCCUGUAAAUGAACUAGUUUGAUGUGUAUAAAGGUGUGUGGUUUGGAUUUAAAAAUGUAAUCCUGCCUUUCUAUCCCAAUUGAGUUUUGUCUAGGGAUUAUUUACCUGCUUUCGUAUGUGCAUUAAAAUAAAUGGGUCGGCGACAUGUCCUGAAAAGNNNNNNNNNNNNNNNNNNNNNNNNNNNNNNNNNNNNNNNNNNNNNNNNNNNNNNNNNNNNNNNNNNNNNNNNNNNNNNNNNNNNNNNNNNNNNNNNNNNNUCCAUGAUUCUCCAAUAUCUCAUAAAUCAAAUUCAAAAUCCACAUUAUAAAUCAGAAUAUAUUUCGCAAACCAAAACAUAUACCCCUUCCGCAACAUAGCUCAUGAGCCAGAAUACCUAUCGUAAAUUACUCAUCAAAUAAUUUCAGAAUUUAUAGAAUAAACCAGAUUCACAAAGCAGUAAAGCAGUAAAUAUAACAUUUUACAAUCCUUUUCUCAAUAUCUUUCAUAAAACUUUCUCAAUCCAUUCACAAAUAACUUAAAAAAUAGUAAAUGCUCAAUCUAGAUUUCAUGCAAUAAAGAAUAUCAUUUCAUAACUCAUAUGAUUUUUAAUAUCUGUCACUUUCAAAACAUGAAUUUACCAAUUUAAAAAAGAGAUAAGCACCACUUGUUUGAGAAAAUUCUUAUACCAAAUAACAAAGAUUACUUGAGUCCAUGAACUCGCAAUGCUAUCAAAUAAACAAGCAACAAUAUCAAAAUCAAAUAGAAUUUUAUCUCGAUUCGACUAAACUUUGCUUCUUCACCAACUAUUACAUGCUAAUAAAAUGCUCAUUUUGAUCAAAUUGUAACUUGGAAUCCAUUUUUAAUAAACCCUACAAUUACACGAUUCUUUUAAUUAUUACUUCCAUAUAAUUUCACGGCCUAAUAAUUUUUAAAAAGUGGAGUCACUGACAGCUUAACAAAUCCUUACCGGUUGCUACAAAACCUAGUUAAUCCGUCUUCAAGGGUGCACUCCUUCCCCGUUUCUCGUUCCUUUCCUCUUUCCCCCUUUUUUCCCUUUUAGGCCCUGUUUUGUAACCAUCCAAAUAGGGCCAAAUUCUUAUUUUUGUUCCCAGAAUCAGUUUGGGCCUAAAAUCGCGUUUAGUAAAAUUUUUGUUUCUGGGAACAAAUUUGUUCCCGGGAACAAAUUUGUUCCUAGGAAUAGAUUGGGAAUAGAAUCAAGAACAAAAAAAAAGUUAAUUCUUAUUCCGGGAACGAAUUUGAGAAUCAAAAUCAAGAACUUUUCUUCUUCCUUUCGGCCAUCUCGCGACCGCCGUCCACCACCGCCCGCCACCAUCCACCGUCCGCCGCUGCCGUCCACUGCCGCCGUUCGCCACCGAUUGCCGUCCGCUGCCACUGGCCGCCUUCCGCCGCCGCCAGCCGCCGGUCCAGCGAGCUCGCCGGAGGCUCGCCAAACCAGGGCGAGGUUCAGCGAGCUCGUCGGAGGCAAGCCUAGCCACCGGCGAGCUCGUUGCGGCUGGGCAGGGGCUGGGCAAGCCUCGCGACGCCCAGCCCCAUCGGUGGCCAGGCGAGGCUUGCCCAGCCCCGCCGGUGGCCUGGCAGGCCUCGCCAAGCCCCGGCGAGGCUAGCCUGGCCACCGGCGACCGGCCACAAGAAGAAGAAGAAGAUGAGAAAAAGGAAAAAAAAAAAAAAAAAAGGAAAAAGGAAAAGGAAAAAAGAAAAGAAAAAAAAGGAAAAAAGUAAAAAAUUUAUUUAAAAAUUAAAAGAUAUUAAUUUGGAACAAAAUUAAUGAGCACGGUACCAAACGCAAUUCUAUUCCAGAAUCAGAAAUGUUGGACAGUUACCAAACGGUUUAAAAUGCUUAGAAUUAGUUCCCGGAAACAGAAUAAAAAAGAAUUAGUUCUAAUCAGAAUCUAUUCCCGGGAACAGAAUCGUUACUAAACGCGCCCUUAGUUUUCUCUUUGUUCUCUUUAUGUCCGUGUUUCUUCUUUUUUUCCUUCUAGAUUCCAAUGGUUCAUCCACUUUUUGACCAUGUGAAAUUUCAUUUUUCUUUACCCAAAAAACCAAAAACUUUCCCCCUUUUUUUGGGCGCCUCUUCUUUUGACCCAGUCCAGAAGCCAAUAUCAUCCACUUUUUGACCAUGUGAAAUUUCCUUUUUCUUUACCCAAAGGACCAAAACCUUCCCCCCCUUGUUUUGGGCGCUUCUUUUGACCCGGUCCAAAAGCCAAUUUCACUUGGAUGCCGUACAGUGCGCACGUAUUGUGUGUUUGUCUUUCUUUUUGUUUUUGGCCUGAAAUUACGCGACGAUGGUGGGGGAACCAAAAAAGUAAUCUGGUAUCUUUUUCUUCGAUAGUACCUAUUUUUCCAAUCAAACAUAGGAGUGGCCUAGUGAGACACUAAAGUUGCGCAUAACAACGUUUCUUGAUCGGGGAAUAAUUUUUUUCAGAAAUAAUUCUUUUCUAUUUCUACUUCGGGGAAUAAAAUUUGAGUAAAAAAAUCCAUUAGAUAACUACACAAAAUUUCUACUCUUGAAAUAGAAAAAUAAUAGAAAUACGUUUGGUAACGUAACAGCAGCGGUUGCGAGUGGCUGGCAGCGGUCGGCGAUCAGCGGUGGCUCCGGGCAAUUGGAGGUGAUCGCAGGAAGAGAAAGGAAUAAAAGAAAAAUAAAAAAUAAAAUUGACUUAUUUCUAAAAAUUGUUCCCGGGAACAAGAAACAACUGUUUUUUGUUUUUUGUUUCUGUUUCGAAUCUAUUCUCGGGCUAACUUUCUAUUCUCAAGAAUAGAAAAACAACUUGGCGUUACCAAAUGAAUUUCUGUUUUUUUUUUUUUCCGAGGAACAAAAGAACAGAAAUUCAGAGAAAUAGAAACGUUAUCAUGCACUGCCUAAUAUCCCGCUAAGAACUUUCGAGUUUUUACAGCCGGCGUUGAGGGAAAUUACAUUGUGAAGGGGGAAACGUGCCAUCCUUCUCGGAAAGCGGCAUUCCCGCGUGGGCACAGGCACGCCUCUUGACCGAGACUUUAUUUGAUGAUCAUGAGUCUCUUUCCCGCAAGAAGCGGAAAUUGACAACUCGCAAACCUUGUAUAUCUCGUGAUCAUCACAUCCUUUUCCUAUGAGAGAAGGGAAUAGAUCUUGUGCAUAGAGAUUUGUUUCAGGUGGUGAUAGAGCACACGGUUUGGCUUUCAAGAGCAGAGCGAAAGGAAGGAAAUGGUCACCAAUUCACCCAUCUCCGAUUCCUCUCGUUCUUCAUCAUUUUCAACAUCAGAAGCGGCAUUACCAACCUGUCAGCCACGUAACUAUACUAACGGCUGCCUCAAAGCUUUAGUCAACCAGUUCGUCGUCACUGGUACUUCUCGCGUCGUCACUGGUACUUCUCGUAUCUCAACAUUUUGGCCACGGGACUAAUAUGCACUCCUACUCACAUUUCCCUCAUUUGUGCUUGUGCCCACCUUAUCAAAAGCUUCUCUGGCCUAUUUGUAGGUUCUGUAAGUUGGUUGUUUUUUUGUGAAUAAUACUUGCUGGCUUCUUCCAGCAAACAUCACGUAAACGUGACAGGCAACGUGAUUUGGAAAAGAAUGGACCCUAAAAAACAAGAAGGGUAUCCUAGAGAGGAUGUUCAUGAUGUGCUAGAUAGUUGUAUAGAGUCCUGUUGGUCAUUUUUAACUGGACGCUUAACUAGCCAGAAUUUCAUCCAUGACAAGCAUGCAAAAAAGUGACAACUUGAGAAUUCUAUUUUCCCUGAUUAGUCUGAUGCUCCAUAAGGUGCCAGAACUUCAAUCCCUGCCGCUUUUUUUACCUAUAUGUCAUCUUCUCCUUGAAUAAUAUCAUAAUUGCAUCUAUGCGUAUCUACAUCUCGUAUAGAUAAAGGCAUGAAAACUUCCUUUGGUUGAGGUAACUCGCUUCGCUCUUUCAAAUUUCAUUUUUUAUGACUCGGUCUCUCCUUAUAAUAAGUCAUUACAUACUUUUUCAAAAAGGUUCUUUUUGUAGUGAAGGCAUGUGAUGUCAAACUGAAAAUCAUGAUCCGCUGCUGUUGAGAUUAUAUAAUUUCCUUUUCAUUUCUCCAGACGUUACUACUAUUACUACAACUACCAACUGUAGCGAAGGAUAUACUGGGACAUUGUCAUGCUAGCAUAUUCCGGGAAAAAGGAACAUUUUAUUAUGAAUCCUUCCAAAUUAAGUCACCACUUUGGUUUUUCUGAACUUCAUAAUUUCGGGAUGGUUUUCUUCACAAGUUGCCCAUAUUGAGUGUCUAAGAGCAAGUCAUGAAUACAGAAAAGAAGAAUGAAGAACGGACAACAUUGGAAUUUUCUUCCAAAUUAAGUCAUUGGUCUAAUGCAUAUGAAUCUAAUGUUCCUACAUACUCAACUAGACAACAAGCAAGUGGCAAAACUAAGUCAACUGGAGAAUCUAAUUUUCUCUGUUUAGUCUAAUGGUCCCUUGGGGAAGAAUUUGAUGGUUCAGAAUUUGAUUGUGCAAUUCCGGAUAUAUCUGCAUCCUGAACUGCAACCGCUGCCUGGAUCUUUCACGUUUCGUCCACUCCUAUCAGUUACUUUUCUUUUUCCCUUUGAUCACACAAUUGGAGUUGUCUUAGGAUAUUUACCUUGAAAGUCUACAAUAUUCAAAAGUCGUCAUCAAGUACUCAUUUUAAGAUUGUAUGCAGAAUCCAAUGGGCAAAUGAGCAGAUUAACAGUUUUCAAGUAUGAUGAGAUUUUGACGAUCACCAAGAACUUUGAAAGAGAGAUUGGAGAAGGAGCAUUUGGAAAAGUAUAUCUUGGUAAACUAGGAGACGAGACAAAAGUUGCCGUGAAGGUGCUCUCUGAAUCAUCAUGGCAGGGUAGCAAGCAAUUUCGAGCUGAGGUUUGAUAGAAUGAUUUGAUGUGAUGCUUAUUUGACAGCUUGAUCCCAUAUUACAGCAAUGUCAAUAUGAAAUGCACAUUCGUGAUAUUGCAGACAAAACUCUUAAUGACUGUCUACCAUGGAAACUUGGUUUCCCUGAUUGGAUAUUGUGAUGACUCCAAAAAUAUGGUGUUAGUAUAUGAAUUCAUGGCCAACGGAAAUCUACAACAACACUUGUCAGGUACUUUAUCAUAUUCUUGCAUGUUUCUGGNNNNNNNNNNNNNNNNNNNNNNNNNNNNNNNNNNNNNNNNNNNNNNNNNNNNNNNNNNNNNNNNNNNNNNNNNNNNNNNNNNNNNNNNNNNNNNNNNNNNNNNNNNNNNNNNNNNNNNNNNNNNNNNNNNNNNNNNNNNNNNNNNNNNNNNNNNNNNNNNNNNNNNNNNNNNNNNNNNNNNNNNNNNNNNNNNNNNNNNNNNNNNNNNNNNNNNNNNNNNNNNNNNNNNNNNNNNNNNNNNNNNNNNNNNNNNNNNNNNNNNNNNNNNNNNNNNNNNNNNNNNNNNNNNNNNNNNNNNNNNNNNNNNNNNNNNNNNNNNNNNNNNNNNNNNNNNNNNNNNNNNNNNNNNNNNNNNNNNNNNNNNNNNNNNNNNNNNNNNNNNNNNNNNNNNNNNNNNNNNNNNNNNNNNNNNNNNNNNNNNNNNNNNNNNNNNNNNNNNNNNNNNNNNNNNNNNNNNNNNNNNNNNNNNNNNNNNNNNNNNNNNNNNNNNNNNNNNNNNNNNNNNNNNNNNNNNNNNNNNNNNNNNNNNNNNNNNNNNNNNNNNNNNNNNNNNNNNNNNNNNNNNNNNNNNNNNNNNNNNNNNNNNNNNNNNNNNNNNNNNNNNNNNNNNNNNNNNNNNNNNNNNNNNNNNNNNNNNNNNNNNNNNNNNNNNNNNNNNNNNNNNNNNNNNNNNNNNNNNNNNNNNNNNNNNNNNNNNNNNNNNNNNNNNNNNNNNNNNNNNNNNNNNNNNNNNNNNNNNNNNNNNNNNNNNNNNNNNNNNNNNNNNNNNNNNNNNNNNNNNNNNNNNNNNNNNNNNNNNNNNNNNNNNNNNNNNNNNNNNNNNNNNNNNNNNNNNNNNNNNNNNNNNNNNNNNNNNNNNNNNNNNNNNNNNNNNNNNNNNNNNNNNNNNNNNNNNNNNNNNNNNNNNNNNNNNNNNNNNNNNNNNNNNNNNNNNNNNNNNNNNNNNNNNNNNNNNNNNNNNNNNNNNNNNNNNNNNNNNNNNNNNNNNNNNNNNNNNNNNNNNNNNNNNNNNNNNNNNNNNNNNNNNNNNNNNNNNNNNNNNNNNNNNNNNNNNNNNNNNNNNNNNNNNNNNNNNNNNNNNNNNNNNNNNNNNNNNNNNNNNNNNNNNNNNNNNNNNNNNNNNNNNNNNNNNNNNNNNNNNNNNNNNNNNNNNNNNNNNNNNNNNNNNNNNNNNNNNNNNNNNNNNNNNNNNNNNNNNNNNNNNNNNNNNNNNNNNNNNNNNNNNNNNNNNNNNNNNNNNNNNNNNNNNNNNNNNNNNNNNNNNNNNNNNNNNNNNNNNNNNNNNNNNNNNNNNNNNNNNNNNNNNNNNNNNNNNNNNNNNNNNNNNNNNNNNNNNNNNNNNNNNNNNNNNNNNNNNNNNNNNNNNNNNNNNNNNNNNNNNNNNNNNNNNNNNNNNNNNNNNNNNNNNNNNNNNNNNNNNNNNNNNNNNNNNNNNNNNNNNNNNNNNNNNNNNNNNNNNNNNNNNNNNNNNNNNNNNNNNNNNNNNNNNNNNNNNNNNNNNNNNNNNNNNNNNNNNNNNNNNNNNNNNNNNNNNNNNNNNNNUAAAUGCCUGAGCCGCCACCGUAGCGGCUCAGAAUUGCAGGUUUGGAUUAUCUCCAUAAGGGUUGUGUGCAGCCCAUAAUCCACAGAUACAUCAAGGCUUCAAAUAUCUUGUUGAAUGAAAACAUGCAAGCCAAAUUAUCUGACUUCGGUCUUUCAAGACCUUUGGCAGCUGAAAAUGGCACUUACAAGUCGACCAGUCCUUUGGGAACUCCUGGCUACCUCCCCCCCGAGUAAAGGCUUAAACUCGAUAUUGUUGAGAUAGUUCUUAAUCUCUAUACGCAUAGAAAAUCCAACAGUCCGUAUUCAUAUUACAUGUUCUGCAGGUAUCAACCAUCCGCUCAUGAAUUAAACCAGAAAGGUGACGUCUACUGUUUCGGGAUUGUGCUUCUUGAGCUAUUGACAGGACAACAGGCAAUGAUGCCAAGUGGAGAGGGAAAAAGCACGCCCAUACGGGAAUGGGCUAUUUCCAUCAUCGAAAGUGGGGAUAUGCAGAGACUUAUGGAUCGACGGUUACAAGGAAAAUUCGACAUCGACUCGGCC